rnacentral:lncRNA from 1 species
GGUCGAGCACUGGAAGCCUGCAAUGCAGACUGAUUGAUUUAUCAGUUUAACGUGUGCCAGGAAUGAAGAACUGGAAUAUCACCGUCAAGCAAGCACCCUGUGGAGCAAUACCAAAGAAUGCACAAUCCGGCUUUGCAAGGUGACACUGGAGGCUUUUUGAAAAGUGCUUCACGCUCACUUGCACAGAUUGAGCAUCCCCUCUGGAUAUUGCCCUCUCUGAUCGAGUCUGAGCACUCAAAUUUUGGUCCUCAGAGGGAGCUACAGUUUUCUCUCCAAUAACCAACAAUUUUCUAAACUCAGCACCUAGUGUGAUCAGAGUUGUUGAUAUUUAUAAAUGGAGAUCCCCAUAUUUGCAAGUGGAGACAUUUAACAAUUCACCAACAUGCUUCAUCCGGUGUACAAAAUUCUGCAGCUGAUUCAAAUCCGGAACCUGAACCAGAGUCGGAGGUAUAUCUUGAGCCAUAUCUAAAGUAGUUUGAAGUUCAAGACCUUGAGCCCUUGACAAUGGUUUUGAAAUUGGAACAUCUUGGAUUACUGCAGACUUGUACCCCUUGGUUUCAAAGGUAAGGAAAGGCAUUGCUUGAGUACAAUUUGGAGGCAGCUUCUUCACCAAUUUUAUUUGGAGGCGAUUGGCAGCGGAUCCAGCAGCACCAAUUUCAGAGCAAAUACUGACACUACUUCGAACAGCACACUGAAGAAGUGAUAUGUCUACGGCAAAGGCAAUGCAGUCCUCAUUUUGGCUUGAGAUGCAGUAAUCAUCGAAGAGAGUUUCCUUGUGAAACUGGGCAACACAUUGAAUCCCUUCGCCACUGAGAAGGUUGUGGAGGAAGUAAGCUUUCUCUCUAGUGAGGCAGAGGUGGCAUACCUUCCCCAUUUUGUCGAGGGCAGGUAGGAAUCUUUUUUCUAAGAGAUUUACUUCAUUCUCUGUGAGAAAUGCUUUGAACUUCAUCCCUCUGUCUCUAUCCUCACUUAUCAGGAAAUAAGUUGAAAGCACUACGAAGAGAGAGAGAGAGAGAGAGAGAGAAUUAAGAUAUAUAGACAAGAAAAAUAUUAGACGUUGAUCUUACAAACUAAUACUUCAAGCAGUAUCCUGGAAAGCUAAAAACUGCAAGAUGGCUUGAAAUUUGAAAAGAGCACGUGCUUUUCCUCCUUAACUUGAGAAAAUGUUUAAUAUAGUGCACCUUAUGGAAGCAUUUAAGCAAUUAGAACUUUGCACAAAAACAUCAAGAAGACUAAACAAGUCAGAUGCAGUGUAUUUGUCCAAGCACAAAUUGCAUUUUGUCCUCAACUUUAAUAUUUAUUGAUGAGAAUCAAUACAGGUCCCUCAUUUGUUAUAGAAAGCUUUCUUUCUUGUAGUCUCACCAGUUAAUUCACAGGUCUAUAAUCAUCUUGCAAAGUUAAGGGCAUUUCUUUUGAUCUAAAGUCUUUGCAUCACCACCUCAUCACACGCCAAGCCAAUAUUCCAUUUACCUCUACAACAAAAAGUUUUAAUUAAACAAUCCUAAUGCACGCAGCCAAAUAAAAUGCAGUAAGAAUAUUCAACUUAAAAAUCUGAAAGCCAACUUGGUGAAUUGCCUCCUUAGGUGAAGUUCCAUGCUUUACUAUAGUUGACAGAACUCAGCAAAAGCUUCCAUACAACAGAUUUUGAAAAUGAUGAUGCCAACAGAUACUCAUUCAAUCCAUUGAAACUCCAAAGGUUCAUUGUUCAUAGAAGUUUACAAAGUUUUGGUCAUCAAAUAGCUCAGACCUAAUCCCAAACAAAAAAAGAGUGAAAAUUAGAUCACGAGCAGCUAAUUGUAAAUUCUAACUUAACUCUUCAUCUCCUUUGUAAACAAGAAACAAAAUGGAGACACGCAAAAUGAAUAUGGAGAAAAUUUGAACUCAAAUGAAAUGAGGGCACGAAAGCAAACAAAUGGCAUGCACAAAAAAACCAAGCCUCAAUCAAAAACUAAUUAACCAUUAAGAAAAAAAUUGGUCAGACAAUGAACUCCAAAUUCAGGAGUCAAGCAAGAAGCUUUCAUUAUUUCAGAAGCUCCUGUACAAAUUAAUAAGUUAUGCUCUUUGGAAGCAAAACCAAAUUCCAAGAGAAACAGAACCCAAAAAAUUUGCAAUUAUUCGCAAAGGAAGUGAAGCACAGGAUUCUAUCACACAUAGGAAUUUUAUAACAAGAGAUCGAUAUAUCGAAUUAGAAAACUCAAUUCGAAUUUGUGUGAAAAAUCAAAAUUAGAAGAUUUCACAUUUCGAGAGGAACAAGCAACAGAUGAGUUUAAUUUCAGCCAUAACAUGCUAAAAAUGCUACACUUAACGGUUCCUUGUCAGCUAUUGAUGCGUUCGCUCANNNNNNNNNNNNNNNNNNNNNNNNNNNNNNNNNNNNNNNNNNNNNNNNNNNNNNNNNNNNNNNNNNNNNNNNNNNNNNNNNNNNNNNNNNNNNNNNNNNNAAGGGUCAUGUUCAAGCAGGAAAACUUCUAGAACAGGUAAGGAUUCCAUCUACAGACAUCCAUUGACAGCAGAUAUAUUUCAUUAAGCAGACACUGUUAGCAUUCAAGAUGCUGGCAGAUUCACUUGAUUCUUAUUAGUUUGUUUAGUGGCAAGGCAUAUAACCUGUAUUUCAAAGCCAAGUUGUGCUAUUGAUUAUGUUAACUUUAUUGUUAACAUUAAGUGAUUUGGAGGACAUAAUCAAUGUAGGAAAAUUAGGUGAAGAGAUGAUGUCAAAUCUUGAACCUCUUACAAAGCUCCAAGUUCUUUACUUGAAGAAGCUGCCAAAUUUGAAGAGCGUCUACUGGAAGGCAUUUCCAUUCCCAGAUGUAUGCAGAAUUUUUGUAUUAAUGCCCAGUUCUUAAGAAGCUGCCACUGGAUUUUCAUGGGGCGGGCCAAGGUAAAAUUCUUAUCAAGGGAAAGGAAGAUUGGUGGAAAGAACUUCAAUGGGAGGAUCAAGCAACUCAGAAUGCAUUGCUUCCAUUUUUCAAAUCAACUGACAAGUGAUUGAAGGGGGCAUCAUCAACAGAGAUGGAGAGAUUCUGGAGCAGAUCAGCAGGGUUUGUAUAUGAUCUUUGGUGGUUGCUUUCUUUUGUGAUUUUUUUUUUCUCAUUUUUUUACCUUCCUGUCAUUUUAUCAUUUCUUUGUCUCUUUUUCUAUUGCUGAUGUUAGUGUAUGCUUACUGUUGCUUGACAAAGUUUGCUUGCUUCUUGUUUAUUAAAUUUUUUAUGGUCACAAAAUAUUACUUGUUCUAUUUGAGAGUGAUGUGAAUCAAUUUUCAAUUAUAUAUUUUUUGGUCAAUGUGAAUUCAAUUUCAUUUGUCUCCUGCAAUUAUUAAAAAAAUGCAGUCUCAUAAUAUGGAAAAGUCGACCGGCAAAAAUUUUGUGAAAGCUUCGGAGUGAAACAGGGAAUUCACUUACUACUAAGGACAAUUGGUGGCGAGCUAUUCCAUUCAUUUUAUGUCCCUACAUCUAUUUAAUUAUUAAAGAUAAGUGGUCCAUUUGUAAAUUUCAGAUUGUGUCUCUCUGAAAAUAACAAUAUUUAAAAUGUCUCUUAAAUUAUUAUAAAUUUUAAUUCACUCUCGAUUUAAAAUGGAACAUGCUGAUGAAAAUUUUUUUCUUCUCAAUAUUCAAUAAAAUUGAAAUAAAUUGUGUUUGCAGUAUUUUGAAAUAUUUUAAAGAUUAUUAUUUUAUAAGAGAGUAAUAUGAAAUGAAAUUUACUCUUCAUGCGUGAAAUGUUGAAAAGGACAAAGGAAAGUGUCACUGCUUUUAUUUUAUUUCAAAGUGGAGUCAUCUCACAUACUUUACCUCUAUCAUUACAAUUUUUCACGUUACAUUUUGAUUUAUUUAUUUCUUUUAACACAUGCAUGUGGGUUACUUUUCCGUAAGCUCCUUAAUAUAUGUUUAACACAAAUCAUGGAAGAGAUGGGAGUAUAUCAAGAUGAUCAAAGCAUGAGACAAAAAUAUUUAAGAAGUAAAACACUGAAAAUAGAGGAGAGAUGCAAGCAAAAGAUAUUCCAAAGAAAAGCAAUCUAUCCCCUUUCGAGGGCAAACUUAAUCAGGUUUAAGAAAAGUACAUGUUUUGGAUUGGUAGUUGCAGCCUUGCAGGAUAAUUGUUUUUGCCAUUAUAUUAGUUGGAGGAGUUGAACCCAGCGAAGAAUGUUAUGGAAGAGCAAAUUAAUGAUAUUUCUGAUAGAGUCUAUUUGAUUAUGUAGCCUGAAUGGAUGUCUUGUUGAAAGAUAUCUCAGUGCAUUAGUUCAUCCUUGUCUGUCAAUGUGUUUUUAAUGGUUUUUCCAAUUGUUUAUUAUUAUAGAUUGAUUGUAAAUUUAUAUGAAAAUUUGAUAUGAAUUUAAUGUUGAAAUGUUUUCUCUUUAGUGGAAUGAAUUUAAAUUGAUUGAUUGUAAAUUGAUAUGAAUUUAAUGUUGCAAUGUUUUCUCUUUAGUGAAAUGAACUUAAAAGUGUAAAAGAUUAUUGCACACAUAGAAAUAAACAUAUAUGCUUUAUAGUAUAACUUUAGCAAUCGAUUCUUUUACGGCUGGAAACAGAGAUGAUGAUUAUCAUAGGGGUGAAGAAAAGGACAAAAAAUAUUAAUAAAUGAUCUUAAUGUUCCACAAAAGCAAAUCGUAAUAUUCCACAAGAAAAAGCAAGAUCUUAAUGUUCCACAAAAGCGUUAUUUAUUUUUUUUGGUGAGCCACGUGGAGCUCAAUUAUCAUUGUCUUUACUUUAAAAACGUUAUUUUAUUUUAUUUUCUUACAAAUUAAUGCUAACAAGAAAAAGCAAGAUAUAAUAUUCCACAAAAGCAAAUCGUAAUAUUCCACAGAGGAAUAAGAUCCACAAAAGCAAACAACUAGCUGGAUUCUUUUAUUAAACUACAAAUUAAAGUGGAAUCGUUUACUAAACAACAAAUUAAAGUUCAAAUAUUUAAAUAGUAGUGCGUUAGACGAUUAGGCUCUUUUAUUAAAGUCAAGUAUAAAGUAGUCCAGAAUCGAACAUCUCUAUUGUCUAGUCUUUUUUUUUUUUAAUUCUUCUUUUAUUAUUUUUCAGAAUAUGUUUUGGUGAUUACUAUUGGGUUAUUAUUCAGAGUUAUUGUUAUCUUCCGGGGCAGUUUCUGUUCAUCGAAAUCGUUAAUUAAAAUUUUAAAACUCUUAUCGGAAGAAUGUUUUUCCGUUAUUUUUUUAUAUUCUAAUUUCAAUUGUAAGAAGUAGUCAUUUUAGAAUUUGGGUCUUGAAUCGAAUUUCAAUGCAUGAAUUAAUAUUUUAAAAAAAUUUACUACAUGCAGUUUAGGUUACAAACUAUUUUUUGCAAAGUUGACUAUGAAAUUGGAGAAAUUAAGUAAUUUAUAAUGUUUGCAAAGAAAGAGACCAACAUACUUCCAAUUACACUAUAUCUCAAUUAUCAUAAUGUUAAGAUUAAACUAACUUAAAAUAAAAUUUAUUUAAAAAGUUUAUCAAACGCAGUCUAAUUUUAUUAACUUGAAGAGAUAAUAGUUAUAGAAAUUAUUAUUCUAACUUAAUUAGUAAAAGUGGUAUAAAGGUUAAGUGUGCACUAAAUCUAUUUAAAUUUUUUUCCAGUAUAACUAACAGAGGUCAUUACUAGAAUUAUAUUACUAGUCUAUUAGAUAGAAAAAAUUAUUUAUAUUGUUUUAUAUUUAUUAAAAAAAUUUAAAGUCAAUCUUUUUAAUUACUAUUUAAAGGAUAUUAUAAUUAAAAAAAUUUUAAUGUCUUCAUUAAAAAUUUAAAAUUUUAUAUGACCGUUAUCUAAAUAUUUAAAGUGUAACUGUCAUUUUCUCAUAUAUAUAUAUAAUUUCAUCAACCCCUUAUACUUUAUGUUAUUUAUAUUUUAUUCAUGAAUAUUAUAAAUUUUUUGAAAUAUAAAAUUUCGUUUAACCCUUUAUACUCAAUUUUAUUUUAUUAAAACCCUAGAGUAUGAAUUCGUCCCUAUAAUAUUAAAUUCUCAAAAUAACUUCCAUUUAAUUAAAAAAUAUAAUUAUUAUUAAAUGAAUUAUAAUUAUUAUUAUUAUGUUAUUAUAAUCAUAAAAAGCGAGAUCAUAUUCCACAAAAGCAUAAGUGACAAAACAACCAACUGGAUUCUUUUAUUAAUCAACAAAUUGUAUAGUCUUUUUCAAAUUGUUAUAAAUUGGUGGCCCCUACAAUCCUCAAUAAUUGUACCGAAAUUCACAAGUUGGUGGGCCCUACAAUUCUGUUCCGAUAAUUUAACUGUGCAAGUGCUCAUUCACAAUCUUCCAGGUCAUGCUCUUAACAAUUGUUUUUUCUUUUCUGCACGCCCUUUCAUGCUCUUAAUAAUUGAAGAGCAUACUUUUCAAAUGUGAAGCCGCAUCUAAUGUCGCUAAUUUAAUUUGGGAUUAAAUUACGGGACUAUUAUAUUGCAGUGUGCACUAAUUUUUAUGUUUAUCUAAACUCUUCAAAUUUAAAACAUAUUAUGGCAUAAAUAAGAAUGUAACAAUAACAAAAGAGUAAGAAAGUGUAGAGAAAAUCUUGCAGAAAUAUAAAUAAUAUUUAUUUUUAAAAUAAUAUUAAUAUUUAAAAUAAUUUUUAAUAUUUUAUGGUCCAUUAGAUAUAUUUUAUUAUAUUAAAAUAAAUUUUAUAAUAAAUAAAAACAUACUAUUAAAAUGAAUAUAUAUAGAAAAUUUAGAGUAUUUUAAGUAUUAUAUAAAAUAAUUUUAAUAAAAUAUGUGAGAUAUUCAUAUUUUAUUAAUUUAAGAUACCAUUUAACCUAAAGAUUUAUUUAUGAUAAAUUAAUAAUUAUAUUUUUGAAAUUACUUCAAAUAUUAAAAAAAUUAAUAUUACUAAUAUAUUAGAUAGAUUAAAUUAUAUAUAUUAUUUUUACUUAUUAAAAAAAUUUUAAAAUUAUUUUUAAUUACUAUUCAAAAAACGUAUUCAAAAAACAUAAUGAUAAAAAAAUCUUAACAUCUUUAUUAAAAAAUUAAAAACUUAUAUGAUAAAUUCUCUAAAUAUUUACGGUAUAUGUGAACCACGGUGGAUAAGCUUUAUUUAAUAUUAUUGAUUUAAAUAAUAUGUCAAUUAAAAAUGUACAGAGAAGAAAUUUCGGUGGGUAUUUUAGUCUUUUAAGCAAUUAUCAUGAUCAGAUCAGCCUUUAGCCUUCAAACGUCGGUCAGAAAAGUUUUAAAAUUAAUGCUAAAUUGUUUUUCACUUUUAACGUUGGUGGCCUUGAAAUUGCUUGUAUUUUAUUAAAAAUUAAUGCUAACAAGAAAAAGCUAGGUCAUAUUCCACAAAAUCAAAAGUGACAAAACAACCAGCUGGUUUCUUUUACUAAACUACAAAUUAAAAUAAAUUUUUUCGAUAAAUUACAAAUUAAAGUGGAUUCUUUUGAAUACAAAUGGGACAGACGAUUAGGCUCUUUUUAUUAGAGGCAAGUAAAAACUAGUCAAGAAUCGAACAGUCUUUUUCCAAUUCUUGUUUUAUUAUUUUUCAAAACUAGUUUUUGGUAAUUACAACCGGGUCAUUAAUCAUUAUUCAGAGUUACUGUUAUCUUCGGGGGCAGUGGGUAAAAGAUAAUUACUAACUGUUUUUCCUUCAAAAGUUAGCGGCUCAUGUUUGCAAGUGUGAAUGUGCGAUGCUCUUUUCUUAAAGGCCAUUACAGUGGGGCCCGAAUCAGACGUGCCUAAAUCUUUUUAAAAUUUUUGCCGUAUAACGAACAGAGGUCAUUACUAAAAUUUCUCUUCCACAGCCUACAGCAGCUUCAGUUUAUCAAACUCCAUCAAUUUUCUUUCUUAACAAAAUUCCAAAGAUGUGUAGCAUUUUUCAGAUCACAUGCGAUGGUGCUCUUUUCAAUCGUUGCUUGGAUUGCUUUCUUGGAAAAGCAGCAUACAUACGUAACCUCCAAGAUAAUCUUGAUGCCUUGGACACUGAACUGGGAAGACUAAUCGCUAAAAAGAACGAUGUGAUGAGGAGGGUUGUCGACGCUGAACGACAACAAAUGAGAAGGCUGGACGGAGUGCAAGUGUGGGUUUCGAGGGUGGAUGCUGUUAAAACUGGAGCCGAUGAACUUAUCACAGACGGCUCUGAAGAAAUUGGCAAAUUAUGUGUUGGAGGCUACUGUUCCAAGAACUGCAGGUCAAGCUACAAGUUCGGAAAACAAGUGGCUAAAAAGCUACAAGAUGUGAAGACUUUAAUCGCCGAGGGAGUUUUUGAGGCGGUGGCUACUGAGGUGGUGCCCGAGAGAGCUCCGGAACCUGUAGCAGAUAAAAGACCCAUUGAGCCAACAAUAGUAGGCUUGCAAUCACAGCUUGAACAAGUUUGGAGAUGUCUUGUAGAAGAAUCAGUGGGAAUCAUUGGCCUAUAUGGUAUGGGCGGUGUUGGUAAAACCACACUAUUGACCCGUAUCAACAAUAAAUUUCUUGAGAGUCAAAACAACUUUGAUUGUGUGAUUUGGGUCGUAGUUUCAAAAGACCUGCGGCUUGAAAAAAUUCAAGACGAUAUUGGGAAGAAGAUAGGUCUGUCUGAUGAUUCAUGGAAGAAUAAAAGUUUUGAAGAGAAAGCUGUGGACAUCCUGCGGAGAUUAGGAGAGAAGAGAUUUGUAUUGUUGUUAGAUGAUUUAUGGGAGCGGGUUGAUUUAACAAAAGUGGGCGUUCCACUUCCCAGCGCACAAAAUACUACCUCAAAAGUCGUAUUCACAACCCGUUCCAUUGGUGUUUGUGGCAGCAUGAGAGCUAGGCCGGUUAAAGUGGCAUGCCUAUCAGAAAAGCAAGCUUGGGAACUGUUCCGCGAAAAUGUUGGGGAAGAAACUCUUGAGAGUGAUCAUGAGAUCGUUGAGCUAGCCCAAACUGUGGCCAAAGAGUGUGGUGGUUUGCCACUCGCACUUAUUACUAUUGGUCGAGCUAUGGCCUUCAAAAAGACAGCCGAGGAGUGGAGUCAUGCAAUUGAUGUGCUAAGAACAUCAGCUUCUGAGUUUGCAGGUUUGGGAGAGAAGGUGUAUCGUCUUUUAAAGUUUAGCUAUGAUAGUUUGCAGAAUGAGACCAUUAGAUCUUGUUUCUUAUAUUGUUGUUUAUAUCCCGAGGAUUAUGGCAUUCUUAAAUGGGACUUGAUUGAUUGUUGGAUUGGUGAGGGAUUCUUGGAGGAAUCUGACAGGUUUAGUGCAGAAAACCAAGGAUACUACAUUGUGGGCACUCUUGUUCAUGCGUGUUUGCUAGAAGAGAUGGAAGAUGAUAAAGUAAAAAUGCAUGACGUUGUUCGUGAUAUGGCUCUAUGGAUAGCUUGUGAAAUUGAGAAGGAGAAGAGAAACUUUUUGGUUUGUGCAGGUGCUGGAUUAAAAGAGGCACCGGAUGUUAAAGGAUGGGAAAAUGUGAGAAGAUUGUCAUUGAUGCAAAACCAAAUUAAAACUCUGUCAGAGGUUCCCACAUGCCCUCAUCUCCAUACUUUAUUUCUUGCCUCUAAUAUGGAGUUGGAGAUGAUCGCGGAUGGCUUCUUCCAAUUUAUGCCUUCUCUCAAAGUUUUGAAGAUGUCACGCUGCUGGAAUUUUCAAUUACCUGUUGGGAUGUCAGAUUUGGGUUCAUCACUAGAACUUCUUGAUAUUUCACAUACCACCAUAAGAGAGUUACCCGAAGAGUUAAAGUUGCUGGUAAAUCUGAAAUGUUUGAAUUUGAGGUGGACAGGUGCGUUAAUUAGAAUUCCACGGGGACUAAUAUCAAAAUUUUCAAGGUUACGUGUGUUGAGAAUGUUGGGUACUGGCGGGUUCAUUUUUUAUGAAGCACCAGAAGACAGCGUUUUAUUUGGUGGGGGUGAAGUUUUGAUACAGGAAUUGCUCGGUUUGAAAUAUUUAGAGGUAUUGGAGUUGACCUUGGGAAGUUAUCAUGCUCUCCAAAUUCUUUUGAGCUCAAAUAAGUUAAAAAGUUGUAUUCGAUCUCUUUACCUCUAUUUGACCGGAGAUAAAAAGUCGAUUAUUGAUGCUACGGCUUUCACAGACCUAAACCACCUCAAUGAAUUAUGGAUUGAUAAUGGAAUUGAGUUGGAAGAAUUGAAGAUUGAUUAUACGGAGAUAGUACGAAAAAGGCGGGAACCUUUUGUUUUCCACAGCCUUCACCUUGUUACGAUAUAUAGUUGCCAUAAAUUGAAAGAUUCGACAUUCCUCGCUUUUGCUCCAAACCUCAAGUCUCUUUCGCUAUUCAAAUGCCGUGCUAUGGAAGAAAUAAUCAGCGUCGGAAAAAUUGCUGAGAAUCCUGAGAUGAUGGGACAUANNNNNNNNNNNNNNNNNNNNNNNNNNNNNNNNNNNNNNNNNNNNNNNNNNNNNNNNNNNNNNNNNNNNNNNNNNNNNNNNNNNNNNNNNNNNNNNNNNNNNNNNNNNNNNNNNNNNNNNNNNNNNNNNNNNNNNNNNNNNNNNNNNNNNNNNNNNNNNNNNNNNNNNNNNNNNNNNNNNNNNNNNNNNNNNNNNNNNNNNNNNNNNNNNNNNNNNNNNNNNNNNNNNNNNNNNNNNNNNNNNNNNNNNNNNNNNNNNNNNNNNNNNNNNNNNNNNNNNNNNNNNNNNNNNNNNNNNNNNNNNNNNNNNNNNNNNNNNNNNNNNNNNNNNNNNNNNNNNNNNNNNNNNNNNNNCACUGUUUUUAUUUCAGUCUCUCUCUCUCUCUUUGUCUCUGCUAAUCACAAUUAAAUGUGAAUUAAUGGAAUUAAUGCUUCAUAAAUUUGCCGGCACUGCCAUUACUUUUUUUUUUUUAAUACAAAUUGAUACUUUAUUUAUAUCUUCUUAGCGAUUUAAUUUCCUGUCAAUUGACGAACGAGAAGAACAUAUGACUUGAACCAAUGCUCGCAUAAACUUGCUGUAAAAAGAUAUAAUCUCACUGAAAUGCACACGCCUAGAAUGAAUAGAAUUAAAACAGGGAAAAUAUUAAGUAUAUUAGCCCUCUUUACCGAAAAUCAAAUGACAAUAAAUUUUUUGAAGUUUUGAUUUUCUAUGGUCAAUUCCACCUUUUGCAAUUUCUUCUGUUCUAACAAAAACCAAUUUCUUUGUUCAAGUAUUUUCGUUUGGGUAUUAAUAAUUCUCCACCGAAAGAGUGAACUCUUGCUCAAGGGAUCUCUAAUCAAUAGCCGGAAGGGCGCCGAGACCUGAUCGGACCUAGGCCCAAGUUUGGUCUUAAAGCCUGGGCUUGAGCCUGGCAAUUAAAUUAAAACAGUAAUUGAUUUCUUGAAUGAAUUGUCGUGUAAUUGAUUUAUGGGGGAUGACACAUCAACAUACUUGAAAAUACACUAAUCUCAGCAUCAUCCGUUAAUAACUUUUAGAUUUAUGGGCAAUCAAUAGUUAAAUUAGUUGUCAUUAAUACUAAAUAAUUUUUACUUUUUUUGUCUCUUCUAGAGGAUCUUCUAGAAAAAUGCAUCCACAAUUAAAUUUAAUACUUUACAUAAUAAAGAAAGCAUAAAUGUUAAAUUUAAGAAACUGCAUUGUAUUUCAGCUGAAGUUGACUUUAAUAUUUAGGGUAGAAAAAAAUUAAAUCCUUAAUGUGUUUAAUUUAUAUCACUUGUGUCAUUAAAAUUUUCUAGUCACCCUAACCAAUUACAUCUCAACCCACUUUUUUUUGGAUGAUUUUAUUUUUAUACUAUUAUUUUCAACAUUUUUUUUUCCUUUUAACACCAACAUUAGUGUAUGUUACGUAACAUAAUCCAUAUUUGGAUAAUUUGAAAUUUGUUUGUGUUUUAUCUCAAAAUAGAGCUUCAAUCAAUUUGUACCUCAUAAAUUCACAAUAUCUGGCAGGGCUAAUAAGACCAAACUCUGGCAUAUUAUCAAAUGUGCUUAUCCUUUUGCUUGACAUGUCAUUUUAAAAUUGUCAUUCAAUGCCAAAAAAAUCACAUCAACUGAUGGCCGACUACUUUAAUUUGAAAGCAUGCAUGCGAUCGCCACCAAUAAUUAUAACUUAAUUGUUAUAUUGAAAUUUUUUUCUUUAUAAUUUUUAAGUUUAAUACUGCUACAUGUGCGGCACAUAAGUUGGAAAAUAUAACAUAAAAUUUGAAAAAUGUGUAGUUUUCGUUCCUUUUUUUUCUUAAAAAUGGGGAAAAAGAAUGUAAUUUUGUUUAAAUUACUGUUGUGAUAACAAUUAUUAUUUUAUUGAUUAAUUGGCAGAGAAUCGUUAUGGUUUCGCAUGGUUGUUAAAACAUUGGAAAAUCCACUACAUCAUCCGAUAAUAACUUUCAGAUUUAUGGUUAAUCAAUAGUUGAGAUUUGUUAUCAUUAAUGUUAAAUAUUUUUUUAAUAUUUUUUCUCUCUCCUAGAGGAUCAUCCACAGUUAAAAUUUAAUAUUAUAAAUAGUAAACAAAGUAUAAACGUUAAAUCGAAGAAACUGCAUUGCAUUUCAGCUGAAGCUAACUUUAAUAUUUAACAGAGAAAAGUAAUUAAGUCCUUAAUGUGCUUUAUUUACCCAUAUAUAUGGCUAAUUUUUUAAGAUAAAGGGGAAGGAUGAUGCUCAAAAAUAUAAAUUAUAGAAUUAAUUGAGCUCUCAAGUAAGUUUAAAGUUCAUUAUUUUUAAUUACAUGUUUAUAAUUUAUUUUUAUUUCGUAUUAAUCUAUAGAUCUAAAUCCACUUUGGAUUCAUAUACAUAUAUAGACAUAAUGUGUAUGUUAAUCUAUAGGUCUAAAUUCACUUUAGGUCUAUAUAGGUAUUUUGACAAAUGUACUCCAAUCAUAUUGGCAAGUUCUAACUACUAUAUUGGUAUGUCAAUAUUAUCUCUAAUUGCCCUAUACAUUCAGAAAUAAUCUAGAUAUACAAAUUAACAUAAAAUAAAAAUAAUUGGUAGAAAAUAUAAAUUAUAAACAUGUAAUUGAAAACGAUAAACUUUAAAUUUACUUAAGAGAGUAAUUAAUUUCAUAGUUAAAAUCUUUAAAUUUUACCCCUCAUCUUAACUUAAGAAAAUUAAUCACUUAUUUUAUUUAACAAAGAAGAGAUUUUUUUCCCCUAUAUUUCCCAAUUAUUUCUCUCCCUCUCGCUCCCGUAAGUUAUACAACUUGAAGUGAAAUAUGAGUGGUCUGAUUCUAGCUUAAAUAAUUUAUUGUGACAUGCUAUCUAAGGACAAUACAUUACCUAGCUCUACAUAUUUUAUUUAACCUCCGGCUCACCCUGUGCAAACUUGCCUUCCCCUACAAGACAAGAUUAAUCAAUCUAUCAAGUCUCAAAUUCAAUUUGGAAUAUGACCAUCGUACGUUCUUGUUCUUCCCUCUUUACGAGUGCAUUCCCCCCAACCUCAAGCUCCCUCUCUCGUCUUCAAUGUCACUGCCUAUAUCCUUGUGUUGUUCUAGUUUGAAAUAGUGGCUUCCACAAUUUCAGGGCCCCCAAAAAUCCAGAAACAUAGUAUUCAUCACGAUGACAAAUUUUUUGGCAGGCAGGUGCUUCCUGACUUUCACACGGUAAUUCUCAAAUUCUGAUUUCACCAUAUUUUAAUUACUGAUUAGCAUAUAUUCAAGUGCUCUCCAUUAUAAUAGAAGCCGCCGCCUCACUCGUGAUUCCAAACUUUAUCUUUUUUCCUUUUUUAAAUUAAUGCAAGUAGCCGCUGUCCUUUUUAUUAAUUAAUUAAUUAAUUCGGCCGCCCACAUUUCUUUUCCUAAUGUCUUCUACUGUCGAUUUUCUUUUAUUUUCUUUUUAUUCUUAAAAUAUGCUUAUAAUAAUAAAAUAUAAAAAUUAAAAUUAACAUAUCAAAAUAUAAUUUAACAGAAAAUUAAGAUAAAAAUAAAAAAAAUAAAUUAUGAGCAUAUCAAUCAAUAAAUGAAAAAUAAUAAUUUUUAUUUUUAUUAAAUAUAUAUUUUUCAGUAUUAAUCAAUUAUUUGAAUAAAUAAAAUCAUUUAAAAAUAAAUAAAUAAAUUAUUCUUAAAAAAAAAGAAACUUUUUAUAACACUCACUAUGCUGGUUGUAGGGUAGACGCUUUGGGAACUGAAGCCGGUAACUUCUACAAGUAGUCUGAAGUUGACUGGCAACAACUAUAUUGACAUUUAGACAUAAUGUACUCCAACCGUAUUGGUAUGUUUAAAUGUUCUUACUAUUGUAUUGGUGUGUCAAUAUUAUCUCUAACUGCCCUAUAGAUAAAAAAAUAAUCUAAAUUUAUAAUUUAACAUAAAAUAAAAUAAUUGGUAGAAAAAUAAUUAUGGUUCAUUUACUUAUCAGUAAUCAGAAUAGACUAAAAUCGAAAUGAGUUGUAUUACCGUUGAUGUGUUUAUGUUGUCCUGGAAUCGGAAUGAAUUAUUUUAAGUUACUAAAAUAUCCUUGGUUUGUUAUUCUAAUUAUUAUUUAAUAUUUAUUAUAAUAUUUGUCAUAUCAUUAAAAAGAAAUAAUAAUGAUGAUAAUAUUAUCAUUAUUGUUUGUUACAUUAUUAUUAUUCAAAAAAAUUAUUGUUAAUAAUAAUAAUUUUUUUAUUUCAAUAAUAAUAAUGAUAAAAUUAAUAAUAAAAAACAUGACAACAACAAUAAUUAUUUAUUAUGCCAAAAAAUAACAAUAAUAAUAAGAAUAAUAAUCAUCAUCAUUUUUUUGCCAAAGAAAUCAUCAAACCAGACAAGAAAUCAUCAAAAAUUGCUAUUUCAAUUUAGGAAGAAGUUCUUUCGGUGUGCUAGCGAUGGGAGAUGUUGUGGCUGCGAUUCGGGGAGCUAAUAGUUUAUUGCACUAAUAACGGCAGGUGCUGCUGCUUGAUGCGAGGUCCAUGGCCAGUUGUCAGCAGUUCGACUUUGGCAUGGGCGCUGCUGGUUCGAUUUUAGGUGUUGUCUAAUUUCAUUUUCAGGAUUUUAAUUUUAUUUUUUUCUUUUAUAUUUUCAUUAAUUAAUCAGGGCAAAGUUUGAUUUUAGAAUUUGGAAUGAAGGUAAUUUUGUUAAUCAUGGAAAUGAGAUUUUGAUUGUCGAGAAUGAACUUACACAAGCAACUGCAAAUUAAGUGAAAACAAAACGCUUUUUCUCUUUGUGUGAUUAAAACAUGAAAUAUACCAUAAAUAAAUAGGUAAAAAUUAAAUCAACACAAUCCAAAACAGUAAACCAAUUAUAAGAGGCACAAAUUUUUAUGUGAAAUACCGAAAACGGAAAAAACCACAACAUGUUAGUAUGAUAUAAUCUUCUACUAUAUUAAUGGGAUUAUAACACAAAUUCUUCCCUAUAUUACACUAGAGAUUAACAACAUCAAGAAUCUCAAUAAUCUUAACUUACAAUACAACCUAAUAUAUGUCUCUCUAAUAAAUAGAUAUCUAAAAUAACAAUCUCUAAUAAGUAAGUAUCUCAAAUAACAGUCUCUAAUAAGUAGGUAUCUCAAAUAAUAGUUAAUAAGAGGAUAAAACAAAAAUUAAGAUUAGUAGGAUGUGUAUAAGGCGAUGCUAUCAACUUAUCUUCUAAAUUUGAGAAAAAUAGUUAAAUUCACUUUUUUGAUUGUCCGACCAAAGAUGGAAACCUUGCCCCAAAACCAAAGGAGUCACCAUUGUGUUUCUCUCUCUCUCUCUCUCUCUCGUUCUUUUCUUCUACUUUUCUUAAUGUUAGCCGCCACUUGCUUUUAUUCUUUAUAGCAUUUAAAAAGUUACUUUUAAUGGUAAAUUUCAUCUAAGUCCAAAACUUAGUGAUAAUUGCACACUAAACAAUCCUUUUUGGACUAUAGACUUUUGGACCUCCAAAUGAGACGAAUACAACAAAUCUCCCCUUUUAGAUCAUGUAGGAGGCACCACAAGCCCACUCUCUGCAUAUAGCUUUUUAACUUCUCCUUGAAUAAUGACUUUGUCAUCAUACAUAACUCAUUCUCCGUUGUGUAAAUCUUCUCAAGCUAUAACCGUUCUUUCUCAAACACGUCUCGUAUCUAAUAAUACUUCACAUCAAUUUGCUUAGAUUUCGAAUGAUAUAUCAAAUUCUUUGAACGACACUCUGAUUUUCGCAGUACAUAAUAUAGUUGUCUCAUUUUAUACCUAGCUCUUGUAGGAAAUUCUUCGUCCACAGUAUUUUUUUGCAACCUUCAAUAAUUGUAAUAUCAUUUGCUUUAGUAGUAGAAAAGACAACUUAUUACUAAAGUUUAGAUUACGAUGAGACUGCUCCUCCUGCAAAAGUGAGCAAACAUUCUAGUAGGAAUUUUUCGGAAUCAACAUCUCCUACCAUAUCUAUACACUUGUAACACAGGUUUGUCACCACCAAAAUAUAAACAUGCUCUGGAAAUGCCUCUAAGAUAUCUGAGAAUUUUUCACUAUUGUCCAGUGCUCUUUACCGGGAUUGAAGAGAAACCACUAACUACACUAGUUGUAUAAGUAAUAUCUGGUCUUGUACAAAUUAUGGCGCACACCAAACUGCCAACUGCUGAAGCAUAAGGAACUCCUCUCAUGGAGAAAUGGGUUUUGCUCUUGAGAUUUUUGGGAACAUGAAGAAUAAAUAUGUAAUUUCUUGGACUGCCAUUGUUUCGAGGUAUAUAAACAGAGGACAAGUCUAUAUAGGUCGACAGUGGUUUGCUCAGAUGCCAGAACGAGAUUAUGUCUUAUGGACUGCCAUGAUUGAUGGGUACCUUCGAGUGAAUAGGUUCAAAGAGGCUUUGACGCUUUUUCAGGAGAUGCAAACUUCAAAUAUAAUGGGAGACGAGUUUACCAUUGUUAGCAUUCUUACAGCUCGUGCGAAUCUGGAAGCACUAGAUCUGGGAGAAUGGAUAAAGACUUAUGUUGAGUGUUAGAAAAUGCAUAUUUAUAAAGGAGAAAACCAUCAUUUUACAUUUCAAGUCUUACUAACAACCCUUACUUUUAUGUAUUUAACCUUCUUGUGAUUUAAUUACAUGUGUUUUAUUUUAAUUAAGUAUUUUAUGUAUUUUAGGGACAUUAUAGUCAUUUCACAAUAAAGGAGAGAUCAGACGGCAAAACAGACAUCACUUUUGAACUCAGGACGGUCAAAAACCUUAGGAGGAGCAUAAAAGGAAAAAUGGCACUAUUCACAUGUACGGUACUAUUCACGUGUACGGUACUGUCCACGUUACUGUUCACGAUACUGUUCACAUAGACAGAUCGAUGACGUGGCAUUGACUGAUGAGGUGUCACGAUCCUGUUGGGCUAAAAUUCUUAUGUACUGUUGAUGGUGACGUGGCAGCAUAUCAAUGGACGAAAAAUCUCGCAUACAGUACAUGCAUCACACAGGAUUAUUGUCAACCAAAUCGCGUUACUGUUCAUCCGGGUCAAACCGUGUUACUGUUCAUCCACGUAGUCAAACCGCGUACUGUUGACUGAUGACGUGGCGCAAUCCUGAGCGUCCAAACUGUUUUUAAUCCGAUGGCCAUGAUUUACUCCAUGUAUCUAUAAAAAGGGGGCCUCCCCCCCUAAUUUGACAACUCUGAAUCUAUUUUGGGAUCCAUUUUCUAUAAUUCCCUCUCCAUCUUGUAUUUUCUACGUAUUUUAAUAAAUUUCCAUUUUACCCUUAGUUCAAUUAUGAGUGGCUAAUUUCCUUUCAAGCUUGGGUUGAAGGUGAAGUCUCAACAUGUGUCAUGGGCUUUAUUUGGUAAAUUUAUUUUCUUUUCCCCUCUAGUUUUUGUGGAUGAUUUGACUUUUCGUCGACAAAUAAUAUUGAUCUUGUCUAGAUACCACCUUGGUUACACCGGCUCUCUAGUACAAGGUUAUUAUUAUUUGGCACGAUAAGCCCUUAGCACCAUAUUGAUUAGAGCGUGGUUCAUGAGGUGUGGAUUCCCCCCUCAUGAUUUAAUUGGCAUUAAUAAGGAUUAUAUAGCCCAUGAUGCAUGUUGAUACGGAUCUGGAUACCCAAGUGCUUCAUUUCAAUAGAUCUAUCUUCAAUUUCUUCUCGCCAUUUUAAUUUAAGUUUUAGAAUAUUCCAAAUCAUUUCCACCACAAAUCCAAUCCCCGAUUCACAAAAUUAAUUCUAUACACAAUUAAAAUCCACAUCCUCGUGGGAUCGACACUCGUCACCAUUAGUCUAUACUACAAUAGAUUCGUGCGCUUGCGAGUACAUUAAAAUUUACACAACAACUUAUAUUGACAAAAACAAAGUCAAGAAUGAUGUAUUUGCGGGGAAUGCUUUGAUAGACAUGUACUGUAAAUGCCGAGAUGUUGAGAAAGCUCAAAAGGUAUUCAGGAAGAUGCUUUGAAAGGACAAAUUCUCAUGGACGACCAUGAUUGUUGGCCUUGCCAUCAGUGGCAAUGGUGAUAAAGCUCUUGAUAUGUUUUCCCAAAUGCUUAGGGCUUCGAUCAAACCGGAUGAGGUAGCUUAUGUUGGUGUUCUGUCUGCCUGUACUAACAAUGGUAACGAAACUUUUGUGAUAAAUAGUUGCAACUUAAGGUGAGAAUUGGAGGAAAGGAAAUAGACUGAAGUUGUUCAAUCAUCGGUCGUCUCUAUUUGGUUUUCUCCGAUAUCUCAUCUUCAGUUUUGACUCAGAUUCUAUCUUACCACUUAGGGGUGGGCAAAAUCGGGUUCGGGUCAACCCGAUCGGGUUUCGGGUUGUUCGGGUUAGACAAGGAACAAUCCGAACAUAACCCGAAUUAAUGACCCGACCCGAACUUAGUUCGGGUCGGGUCAUUAAUUCGGGUUAUGUUCGGGUUGGAUUUAAAAUGGGUAGGAUUGAGUUCGGGUCAAUUUGGGUUAGUUCGGGUCAAUUCGGGUCAGUUCGGGUCAAUUCGGGUCAAUUCGGGUCGGUUGAAAUCGGGUCAGUUCGGGUCAAUUCAGGUCAGUUCGGGUCGGUUGAAAUCAGGUCAAUUCAAGUCAGUACGUUUUUUUUUUUUAAGAACCCGAUCGGGUAUUCGGGUCGGGUCGGGUUUGACCCGAACCGAUCACAACCCGAUCGGGUUUGUAAAUUUCAAACCGAUCGGGUUUCGAUCCCGACCCGAUCCGACCCGAACCCGAAAUUUAUCGGGUCGGGUCGGGUCGGGUAAAAUGCCCACCCCUAUUAAUACCACUAGUAAUUACAUAGACUUGCUGCCAAAGGUAAGAAUGAGAAUAAAUUAAAUAGAUUAUGUCGAAAACGAAAUAAAUUUACCAUUGUUCUGUUCAUUCUAUUUGUUUCCUACAGAAUAUUUCUCCAGCCUAAAAUUUUUUGAAUUAGUAAGUUUUUAUCUUAUGCAAGAAUUGUGCUGAGAGUAAUUCCAUUUCUCAGUCUCUUUAUGUUUCAAUGAAGACGUAAAACUUGUGUUCUAGUGCACCAAUGUUUAUGCUUCUUACAAUUUGACUUUAAUUUAGUUUGUAAAACUUUUGUCAAAAAGUACUAAAAAGUAGUGCACCAAACACAAACUUUAUUACAGAGAGGACUUCAGUUAAAUUUUAAGAAAACACUCAAAAGAACGAGUUAUAAAUUAUUAUCGAAAUAUUUCACAUAAAUAAAAGCCAUCCCAUGCUGCAAAGAUCUUGCUAUAAUCACCAAAAACUAUCGGGAGCUUUUAGGGUUUCCAUAAAAAUGUCAUUUCGUUCCAAAAGUCAAUGGUGGGUAGAAAGUGGUGCAAAUGAGACUCAUUGUUAAUGGUAUAAGUUUUUGCUUAAUUAUGUCUUCCCCAAAAUGAUGAUUUAAUUUCCAUUCUCAAUUAAUUUUCAAGUUUCAACACUUUUCUAUGUAGCAUGACAUUGGAAAGAUCUUGUACAGUUGUACUACUAAAAGCUAGCACCACACGUUAGUUAUUGUUAAGUUCUUUUUCAACGUGAAAUAAAGGAAGUAGUCCUUCGUUAAAACCAUUAUAGCCAAAUUUCACGUAAUUGGACAUUUACAGACUUUUAUUUCAAGUUGGAUUUUGGUCCAACAUUUCAAAGUUGGCCCAAUUAUUUUUGUCUGGUCAAGUCCUUCGCAGCUAAGCCCCUCAAUGAAUGAGGGUGAGAUUGCUAAAAAUUACGACAGGUGAUAUUUUAUUAUUAUUAUUUGUUUGAGGGAAAAAAUAGGAAAAGCAAUAGAGCGCCACGUGUCAACCAAUGGAAUGAUUCCUGCACAAUCUAAGGUACCCCACACAAUCCGAGGUACCCCAUAUAAUAUGAGGUACCCCACACAAAUAGGGGUACCCCGCGUAAUAGGAGGUACCCCAUGUAACUCGAGGUACUCGGCAAAGCGGAUGCAAGAGAAUCCUCCGAAAAUAUCCGCCAUGAGAAACGUCUCCGCCUCCUAAAAGAUAUUAUUCAAUUUUGUCAGAAUUAUGAAUAAAAAACGACGCCCUAAAAGGAGGGACAGUCGCCUGCGACCUCUGCCAAAAGUGAAGGACACUGUCCCAAGGACAGUGGUCCCCAACGCCUACCCGACAGCUACUGCAAAGGUACCCUGGACCACUCUCCAGCGCGCGCCACGUUUCCAAAAGAUGAGAUACGCCGCGAACGUGCAGAUAACUGCCCAAAAAUUAUAAAGAGGUAAAAGGACGUUAGUAAAAAAGGGUAUGCCAUGUGGCAGCUGAGGUACUCCAUAUAUAAAGGCGCCUAGGUUUCAUUCUCCAUCAUGUUCUCACUCACCAUUAACACUCGCACUCCAAAAAAUAGGUUUUCUUCAACCUUAAACCCUAAUUUACAGAGGGUUAGUCAGCUCUCUUUACCAUAAAAGCUUGAGUUUGCUAACUUGAGCGUCGAAGUGUGAACGCCGGGGUACCCCGGCUUCACCUCUAACCUCUAUUUCACUGUUUUGCAGGCGUGAAGCUCAUUUGGAAGGACACAUCUCUUAGUUCUAAACCUUUCACCAUUGUUACCACUCUCUCUCCCUUUCUCACCUCCCCUGGAUUUCAGAUACACCACACCGCACACAAUAAACUAGUGAGGUACCCCGUCUCCCAUAAAAAUACAAAUUCAUUGUUCUAGAUAGAUUUGGCUUUUUUUACCCCAAAAUCUGUUGAAAACACUAUUUUUAAUUUUGGGGGAUAAAUCCUCACCAAAGUGAGGAGAUUUUAUCAAAAUCAAAAUAAAAAUAUAACAAGAACUGAAAGUCGGGCAGCCUAAAAGCUAGAUGAACUAAAAGUCAGGCGCCUAAAAACAACCUUAUGCAAAAGAGAAGCAACAUGAGACCGAUCAAGUAAAAGAAUCCACCGCAACACCUAAAUUGGCCAAAUUAUCUGUUGGUAUUACAAGUUUCUUGUUAUAAAAGUGUAGAAUGAAGUAGGUGACAGUAGUUUUAAGUUACAGCUGCAUGCCUAAUCGCAAUAUCAAAUAAUGAUUAAAUAUCAAAUAAUGCUUAAAGUAGUUGCCUAGGCCCGCCACAAUUUAUAUUAACUCUUAAAUUUAUAAAUAAUUAAAUUUUUAAAAGUUUGGAUUUAUAUUAAAAAAUCUUCAUAUAAAUAAAUAAUAUAUGCACUUUUACAACACAGUCUUUAAAUUUAAAUUUUUCUAGAAAAAUCUUCUGUAUAUCUUUUCUAUUAAAAAAUUUCCAUAUAAAUAAAUAAUAUACCUAAUUUAAUUGGACCCAGCACAUCGCAUAUGCAUAGAACACAUUCCACAAAGCCAUGCUAUUCGGAAAUUGACGAAUGAAAAGUGAGGAGGCAGCAGUCAAUGCUAUUUGGGCUUGGCCCAAAAUUGAUUUAUCAGGUUGACGUUUGCCAGGAAUGAAGAACUGGAAUAUCACCGUCAAGCAAGCAACCUGUGGAGCAAUACCAUAGAAUGCACAAUCCAGCUUUGCAAGGUGACACUGGAGGCUUUUUGAAAAGUGCUUCACGCUCACUUGCACAGAUUGAGCAUCCCCUCUGGAUAUUGCCCUCUCUGAUCGAGUCUGAGCACUCAAAUUUCGGUCCUCAGAUGGAGCUACAGCUUUCUCUCCAAUAACCAACAAUUUUCUAAACUCAGCACCUAGUGUGAUCAGAGUUGUUGAUAUUUGUAAAUGGAGAUCCCUGUAUUUGCAAAUGGAGACAUUUACCAAAUCACCAACAUGCUUCAUCCAGUCUACGAAAUUCUGCAGCUGAUUCAAAUCCGGAACCUGAACCAGAGUCGGAGGUAAAUCUUGAGCCAUGUCUAAAGCAGUCUGAAGUUCAAGUACUUGAGCCCUUGACAAAGGUUUUGAAAUUGGAACAUCUUGGAUUACUGCAGACUUGUACCCCUUGGUUUCAAAGGUAAGGAAAGGCAUUGCUUGAGUACAAUUUGGAGGCAGCUUCUUCACCAAUUUUAUUUGGAGGCAAUUGGCAGCGGAUCCAGCUGCACCAAUUUCAGAGCAAAUACUGACACUACUUCAAACAGCACGCUGAAGAAGAGAUAUGUCUAUGGCAAAGGCAAUGCAGUCCUCAAUUUGACUUGAGAUGCGGUAAUCACCAAAGAGAGUUUCCUUAUGAAACUGGGCAACACAUUGAAUCCCUUCACCACUGAGAAGGUUGGGGAGGAAGUAAGCUUUCUCUCUCGUAAGGAAGAGGUGGCAUACCUUCCCCAUUUUGUCUAGGACAGGUAGGAAUCUUUUUUCUAAGAGAUUUACUCCAUUCUCUGUGAGAAAUGCUUUGAACUUCAUCCCUCUGUCUCUAGCCUCACUUAUCAGUAAAAUAGUUGAAAGCGCUACAAGGAGAGAAAAGAAGAGUAUUAAGAUAUAUAUAGACAAGAAAAACAUUAGAUGUCGAUCUUACAAGCUAAUACUUCAAACAGUAUCCUAGAAAGCUAAAAACUGCAAAAUGGCUUGAAAUUUGAAAAGAACACAUGCUUUUCCUCCUUAACUUGAGAAAAUGUUUAAUAUAGUGCACCUUACAGAAACAUUUAAACAAUUAGAACUUUGCACAAAAACAUUCAAGAAGACUAAACAAAUCAGAUGCAGUGUAUUUCUCCAAGCACAAAUGGCAUUGCAUUUUUUCCUCAACUGUAAUAUUUAUUGAUGAAAAUCAGUACAGGUCCCUCAUUUGUUAUGGAAAGCUUUCUUGUAGUCUGACCGGUUAAUUCACGGGUCUAUAAUCAUCUUGCAAAGUUACAGGCAUUUCUUUCGAUUUAAAGUCUUUGCAUCACCACCUCAUCACACACCAAGCCAAUAUUCCGUCUACCUCUACAACAAAAAGUUUUAAGUAAACGAUCCUAAUGCAUGCAGCCAAAUAAAAUGCAGUAAGAAUAUUCAACUUAAAACUCUGAAAGCCAUCUUGGUGAAUUGCCUCCUUAGGGGAAGUUCCAUGCUUUACUAUACUUGACAGGACUGAGCAAAAGCUUACAUACAACAGAUUUUGAAAAUGAUGAUGCCAAUAGAUACUCAUACAAUCCAUUGAAACUCCUAAGGUCCAUUGUUCACAGAGGUUUACAGAGUUUUGGUCAUCAAAUAGCUCAGACCUUAAUCCCAAACAAAAAACGAGUGAAAAUUAGAUCACCAGCAGCUAAUUGUAAAUUCUAACUUAACUCUUCAUCUCCUUUGUAAACAGGAGACAAAAUGGAGACACGCAAAAUGAAUAAGGAGAACAUUUGAACUCAAAUGAAAUGAGGGCACGAAAGCAAACAAAUGGCAUGCGCAAACAAACCAAGCCUCAAUCAAAAACUAAUUAACCAUUAAAAAAAAAAAAGUGGUCAGAGAAUGAACUCCAAAUUCGGGAGUGAAGCAAGAAGCUUUCAUUAUUUCAGAAGCUCCUGUACAAAUUAAUAAGUUAUGCUCUUUGGAAACAAACCUAAAUUCCAAGAGAAAGAGAACUCAAAAAAUUUGCAAUUAUACGCAAAGGAAGUGAAGCACAGCAUUCUAUCACACGUACAAAUUGUAUAACAAGAGAUCGACACAUCGAAUCAGAAGAACUCAAUUCAAAUUUGUCUCAAAAAUCAAAAUUAGAAGAUUUCACAUUUCGAGAGGAACAAGCGACAGGUCAGAUGCAAAAUUUUCAGCCACAACAUGCCACAAUUAACAGUUUAUUUCCAUGGAUUUAGAGAGCUGACUGACCUUUUGGCUUUUGGAAUUGAGAAGAUCGCGGGCCAAAAUGGAAGAGGGAAAGCGAAAGUGCGGGUUUUAAUAGGGUAUUGGAUUAGCAAAUUUAAUUAGUUUGCGAGGGUAAAAUAGGAAAGAGAUAUCACUAUUAACUUUUUUUUUUAUAAGAAAAAAGAAUAAUAAAGAAUAUUUUAUUGUCAUUUGCAGCCUGCAAAUGACAAUAAAUCAAAUACGUCAUACAGAAGCUUAAAGCUGAAUCUAAAAAAUCUAGAGCUCUCAACUACAAAAAUUACACUUGAUGAUCCUCUACAAGAUGAAGCUUGUUCAAUAUCUUAUCCAAAGUUUAUAAAGUAACCUUGUAACGAUCUUGAGAUUGCCUGCCUUCCUCGACGACCUGCACGAUGCGUUUGUACAAAUCAUCAUACCUGUGCACCGGAUUUUUAAUAUCAACGCCACUGCAGCUGUGAUCAAGAACAUAAGAGCGUUUAACAUCUUUUCUCCAUCGAGAAAGAAUGUAGUGAGAUGGGAUCUCCUGCAUGCCACUCUGGUUUAGAACACAAAGAAUGUGUCUGGAUAAAUAUCCUCUGAAAUUGAACAACCCACAAACACAAAGCACCUCCAAGUCGGAGGCAUUGUACAAAACAUCGAAAGCCCUUGAAUCUUUCUCGUUGCUACCAACCUCAAAUUCUUCCUUCACUAUGUAUGUUAUAGGUCCAUCAGCACUGACAUGUUUUGUGCUAUAGCAAGAGUACAUAGCCUCCACCUCCGUCUGAAACUUCCUUCACAUUUCAUUUGUGUACAGUUUUGAGAGUUGAAAUUCAUAGUCACAUCUUGGUUUCUGGAUACAACUUGAAUUUCUUGAAUCCAUAUCUGCCAAGGCUUCCGGUUGAUAAUUCGCCUGCAGUGCUUGAUCAUACUUGUGUAAGAAUUCUUUCAAAGGAGUACGCUUAUCAAGAUAUCCUUCAAAGUAUGAAGUAGAAACCUCAUUCUGCAGGAAUGAAAACACUCCUGAUAAAAAUGCUUCCUUCAAAUAAACAGGAGCCCACCUUUUACGAUCUUCAUAUAAAGUUUGAAUCCAUCCGUGAUCCUUUAUUCCAUGACGUUGAAUCAUGUCUUCCCAAGCUGCUUCAAAUUCCUCAGGCCUGAGAGAGUGAUAAAUUGCUCUAUGUAAUGCACCUCUAAUAGCUUCAUAUUCAAACAAUCCUUGGAGUUUCUCUGGAAUUUUUUGCAAGAUGCAUGACAAUGAAAAGCAAUGAUAAGCUCUUGGGAAAACAUCGCCAACAGCAAUUUGCAAGAUUCUACAUUGGUCAGUGAUGAUUGUUUGUGGAGAGCGUCCUAACAUACAUGUAAGCCACACCCUAAACAACCAUGUAUAUGAUUCUAUGGUCUCCCUGGCAAGUAAACCACAACCCAACAACACUGAUUGUCCAUGAUGAUUCACCCCAAUGAAUGAAACCAGUGGUACAUCAUAUCUUUCAGUCAAGCACGUAGUAUCAAUUAAGACUACAUCACCAAAGUACCUAUAUGCAACUCUUGACCUGGUAUCAGUCCAGAACAGGUUUCUCAAGCAUCCCUUUUCAUUUAGAUCCACUACAUUAAAAAAGUUUGGAUCUGUCAACUGCAAACGACAAAAGAAACUCUGGACAGCUUGUGCAUCUCCUGGUUUAAGCUUCAAUUGAUUUGAGCUAUUAACAUUAUUUCCAAAUACUCCAUUAACAUCUACAUUACCAUUUCCCUCGGUAUCGAUGAUAAGAGUUCGAAACAGUCUAAUUUUUUGAACGUCUUCAGCACUAUCUAAUUGCAAUGUUCUUUUGGUUCCAAUACCUAUGUGCUUAUGUGACUUGUAAAACUUUCCGCUUCUUGGGCUUAACAAGUGGUUAUGCUCAAGCUCGACUUCAAUGAUUCUCCACCUUUUGGUUUCCAUCAACCUAAACUUUAUCAUUGCUGGACAGCCAGUUCUUGUUUCUGGUCUUGGGCGGUUUGCCUCGCUUUUCUUCUUGAAGCCUGCACUACUACAGCUCAGCUUUCCUCUAUACUUUUCUCUACUCUUUCGGUACCAUGUAUUGCUAACUCUAACACCAAAACCCUGUUCCUUGGCAUAGCAAUUGUAAAAGUAAUAAACAUCAUCAUACGUCUCAAACUCCAUUCCAACAGCAGGAGCCAAUGGAUUUUGGAUUAUCCCAGUUUGUCCAACAUAUUCAGUCAUUGCACAAUCUCCUACGACCUCAAAAUCAUCAGCAUCAUCAUCACCUACUGGUUCAGUAUUCAGAGAAACUUCAUCCAUCUACAAUAGAUGUUUAAUGAAGUGAACUUUAAGGAGAAAAAGCAAAAUCAGUUCAAGGAAUGAUAAUAUAACCAUACAGUUACUUUCACAAAGCUGCGUAUUUCAUCAAUACCUUAACAACAUACAACUGCCUGAGAACGUAUAGACAUGUCAUAGACGCUUGAAUUAAGUAUUGGUACAAAUUCAUGUGGGACACAAUUUCAGUCACUAAACCCAAUGCCUUUUUUUUUCACAUCAUACCAAGGAACGGAUUAAACCCAAUACCUUCUUUUACGCCAUACCAAAGAACAGAUUAAAUCAUCAAUGAAAAAUUAAUCACAUAAUAAUUUAACUAGACAAAUAAAGAGCUCGAAACAGCACAAAACUUGAAUAUGAUUAUGAUAAUUGUUGAGUCAUUGUAUCUACAGCUUUCCUUCAACAAGAAGAUUAUGAACAUAAACUACACACAAAAAAUUUAUUUUAAACUGACAUAAAUUUAUUCAGUUACAUUGAAACCCAAAAAAGGAAGCAGGAGCUGGAGAAAAACAACAGCAGAGAAACUUAUUUCCAGAAGGUUUACGAAAUAAGGAAUUUAUUAAGACACAAAAUUUGAGGUCAACAAUAAGAAUUUGGUUCUCAUUCUCUUUUUCUUCAUUUUUCACUUAUUGAUGGAGUUACCAUACAAUCCUAAAUGAUAAAACCCCAUCUCCAUCUUUUUGAAAUAGAGUUAAAGCAAAGCUUUUUAAGAUGUUUUUCCCUAAAAGACUCAAUAGUACAAUGUUUUUCAAUAUUAAAUACACAACUCAAUCUUCCCCUAAUUUACUCUAAUAAUCUCUUAACUAAGGAAGAUUAAGCUCCACUUGUAAGCUAAAACAAGUUUCUUAAAUCAAGCCCCAAUGCUCUAUGCUAUUCAACAAGGCCUCAUAAAUGAUAAAACUACCUCUACAAAGAUACCCAUUUUAAUUUCGCAAACUAAAAUCGAACUCCUGAAACGUAACGAGCAUUAAAACAAACAAGUCCGAACAAGAACUGAAAAAUGAUACGUAAACCCGUUUCGACAAACAGUUUCCAAUCAAUGAGCAAAAAAGUUAAUGGAAAACAUGAAAUUCAAACGAAACAUACCUUAGGUUGAUAAAUUAGUAGCGCAAAAGAAAUUUUAGCGAGAUAUGGGAUCAGGGAUUUUGCCACGGUGAUGUUAAUUGCGACAUUCGGGUGACUCAGCAGCCUUCGAGGCUGAAACUUUGAUUGACCAAAAGCUUCCCGUUCGUUGAUUCUCUAAUUGCAGAAACGAAACUGGCAGUGUACAGAAGACGUACGCUGAUUUGAUAAUUCUGUGAAAAUCAUUGUUUUUUUUCAGAUUUUUAAUGUGUUCGAUAAAAUAUCAAAAUCUCAAAAACUUUUGUCUUUCAUUUUGGGGGGGAAAAACCCAUUGAGAUCCUUAUGUUUUUUCUUAUAUAAUCUGGCUUAAUAAUUUGCAAAGUCUAUUACUUAGCACCCAUGCAUGCUGCGUUCCAAUUUACAAAAUUGUACGUGAGUGCAUCCAGCUAAAAUUUGUAAAAAGAAAAUAGCAAUAACAUGUUAAAAAUGUGAUUAUUAUGAAGAAAUUUUAAUUUAGUUAAAUAGGUGACGAUGGAUAGGUAUAAAAUCUGAGAUCUUUUAUAAGGUUAAUAAAUAUGUUGAGUUUGGAUUAGUUCAAUUUUGAAAUAAUAAUAUUCAAAAUAUCUCUUAAAUCAUUAUAAACCUCAAAUCUAUUUUAAUUUUAUUUAAAAGAUAAAAGAAAAAUAGGUUAUGUUGGUGAUUUUUUAUUAUCUUUUUAAUAAAAAUGAAAUAAAUUGAUGUUUAUAAUUAUUUAAAGUAUUUUAAAGACUGCCAUUUUAUGAGAGAAAAAUAUUUCACUUUUUUUUAGUGUGAAAGGCCGAAAAAGGACAAAGCAAGUUUCCCUAGUUUUUAUUUAUUUGAAAUUGGUCAUCUCAUAUACUUCACCCUUCAACACUAUAAUUUUUUUGGUUAUAAUUUUAUUAUUUUUUCUCUUUUACACAUGCAUGUGAAUUACUUUUCUUUAAGCUCCUGAAUAUUUAAGAUAAAUCAUGGAAGAGAUGAGAGUAUAACAAGAUGACCAAAAUAUGUAACAAAAAAAUUUUAUAAGUGAAAAAUAUGUUAGAGACUUACAGUGGAAGUAAAACUCUGAGGUGAUGUUUGAUUUGAAGAAAAUGGAGGAAAUGAAAAGACUGGAAUGUAGAGGAAAAGAGAGAAAAGGAGAGGAGAGGAGAGUGAAAUUUUUUUCUAAUGUUUGGUUUGUCACAUAAUUAUACAAAGAAAGGAAAUCUCUAAUUUUUUAUUUAGACAAUUUUAACCUUAAUAAGUAUUAAGUUUUCAAUAUUUAUCAUGUGUAUAAUUAAAAAAAAAAGAAGUAAAUGGUAGAAAGCGGUUUCUGAUUCCGGCCACAUCGCCCGCAAUGGAAGGUACUUAUCAGAACAUCAAGAGCCAGCCAUCAUUCCCUAGCCAUCACUGCUGUCGGAACACUGCCGGAAAGCUGCCGAUUGAACCGCGAAAAGUCGUGGAAAUCGCUGCCUCAAAUCGGUGAGUUUCGCCCUUUUCUGGUCACGCCGUCGCCAUGGCUUUGUCCAUCAAGCCUGCCACUUCCAUUUUCAACCAUCCAUAGCCACUAUUAAUUGCCAAAUCACCGCCGAUCAGCGGGAUCUGUGGAAGUUAAAAAGUUUCUAAAUUUUUUUAACUGGAUUUGAACAACAUACGACCAUUUUUUUAUCUCGAUAACGACGUAGUAAUGUUGAUCGUUGGUCGGCAAGUCGUAUGGUAGUGGCAGUGAGUAACACGCGCCAAUCACAUCGGCGGCGGCGGCGGCACUAUCCGGCGACUGUUAAAAUAAUAUUUUAUAUUUUCAGAUUAAAUAAAUUUAUUUUAUUAAAAUUUUUAAAUCAUUAUUUAAAUUUAAUUAAUUUAAAAUUAUCUAUAAUGUUGAAUUGAUAAAAUAAAUUUAUAAAUAAUAAUUAUGUGAUUACAUUAAAUAAGUUAAAAAGUUGAAGGGUUAGUUUUGGAAGAUUUAGUUUCCAACACAAAGGGAAUUUGAAUUCUUCACUUCUUAGUGUGGAAUUCAAAUUCUAUAUUGUAAUAGAUAUUAAAUUUCAAUAAAAAUUAAAUUCUUAUAAGUUAUGUCAAACCAAACAACGAAAAUAAAAAAGAAAUUUAAAUUAUUUUUCUUUCCUCCACCCUCUCCUUCCAACUAAAUACAUCCUGAAAAUAGAGAUAUUGAUUAAUUUAGAAGAGAUUCAAGCAAAAAAUAUUCCAAAAAAAAAAGCAAUAUGUCCCUUUGGAGGGCAAACUUGUCAGUUUCAAAAAAGUACAUGCUUUGUAUUGAUAGUUGUAGGAUAUUUGUUUUGUCACUAUGUAUUAGUUGGAGAAGUCCAGCCUUGUGGAGAAUGUUAUGAAAGAGCAAAGGAUAUUCCUGAUAGCUGAUAGAGCUCUAUCUGAUUAUGUAUCCAGUGAAUGGAUGUGUUGUUGGAAGAUAUCUGAGUGCAUUAGUUCAUAUGUGUCUGUCAAUGUGCUUUUAAUGAUUUUUCCACCUGUUUGUUGUAAAAGAUUAUUGUAAAUUGAAAUGAACUUGAUGUUUUAAUAUUUUCUUCCGUAAAUUGAAAUGAACUUGAAUUAAAUCUCGUUGAAUUUAAUAUUAUCUCCUUAGUGGAAUUUCACCUAGUAUGUAUUCAGUUGUGUUGUCUAUAAUUUUGCAUUCGAGUAAGUUUCACCUAAAACAUUAGCAUGAGUAGUGGCCCUUGAACCUUUGGUCAAAAUUAUUGUUAUUAUUUCUGACUAGAUGUAAAUUUUGUAUUAAAUCUCGUUAACACAAUUCUUAAUUAAAAGUAUAGGUUAGUGUUGGUGCAAGAUUUGCCACACCAAAUUCUGCCUAGCUGUCAAAAGUGCAAAAUAAAUGAAGAGAAAGCACAAAUACACGACUUGAAUAAGGAUACAACGAAACUUAAAUUCAAGAGAAAAUGAUAGCUAUAUCCCAAGAUUUGAAAAAGUAGUCAUGUAGGUUUUUAAGAUUUCAAUAAGCGACUGAGAUUCAAAUAAUAUCCUUUAAUUCUAUUAAUAAAAAACAAAGACUCAAAUAUUUUAUGAUAAAUAAAAAUAUAAUAUUAAAAUAUAUGUGAUAAUAUACACAUUUUAAAUACUUUCAAUCCAAAAAAAUAGUUAUGUUUUACAAUCUAUUAGACAUAUUUUAUUAAAUUAAUAUAAAUUUUCUAUAAAAUAAGAAUAUAAUAUUAAAACAAAUUCACAGAAAUUUAAAGAAUUUUGAAUGUAAAAUAAUUUUAAUAUAUUAAUACGUGAGUUUUUUUAUUAAUAUAAAAAUUAUUUAACUUUAAGAUUUUUUAAAAUCUUUACAAUAAGUAUAACUAUAUUAUUUACAUUUAAAAAUAUUUAAAUAUUAUUAACCUACAAUUAUAUUUGCAUUUGUUAGAAAUUUUUAAAGUCAAAUAUUUUGCACUUCUAUAUUAUUAGAAUUAUUGCACACAAAGAAAGAAACAUAUACGUUUAGAAAUUGUUUUCUUUUAAAAUAGAGAUGAUGAUUAGUAUAAGGAUCAAAAAAAGGAUAAAGAAUAUUAAUGAUUAACGAAAACUCUAUACAAAUUGAUUUUAGUAGGAAAAGAGUGAGAUGAAUGAUUUCUUUUACAGUUAGAAAAAUAGAUGAUGAUUAUUAUAACGAAGAAGAAAAGAUAAAGAAUAUUAAUUAUUAAUGGAAUCUCUAUGCAAAUUGAUUUCAGUAGGAAAAAAAAUGAGUUAAAUGAUUUAGAGUGCGUUUGGAAUUGAGAUUGGACAGCCAUAGAUUUUAAGUUACAACACUGAAGUGUUUGGUAAAUACUAGCUGCUGCAGAUUGAAAGUUAUGUUGAUAUGAUUUUUCACAUGUAUCAUAGAAAAUAUAUUACAUCUUUAAUAAUUUUUUUAAAAUUUGUAUUUGCUAUAUAUUGUUUUUUUUAUAUAGUUAUAACUUUUUUUUUUUCCACAGCAGCUGUAGCUUAAAAGCUACAGCACCUCAAUCUCAAACAAGUCCUUAGACAUUCAUAGUGUGUUUAUUUUUUGGAUUGGUGAAUCAAAAUUAUUGACAACGCUAACUUCAUCUUCACCGUUCGCAAUCCAACAGCAGCAAUUGUCGCCAAUAAUGAUAUCGCCGAUGAUGAUGACAAUAAUAAUAAUAAUAAUAAUAAUAAUAAUAAUAAUAAUAAUAAUAAUAAUUAUUAUUAUUAUUAUUAAUAAUUAAUAUAUUAAUAUAUUAAUGUUAAUAUUAUUAUUAUUAAGAUUAACAAUAAUUAUUAGUAAUACAAUUUUUUGAAUAAAAAUAAUCACAAUAAUUAAAAUACAAAUUAACAAUUAUGACAAUAGUUAAUUAAUGUCUUUUUAGUAAUUUGUAAUAAUCUAACUCAUUUUAAUUCUGAUUAUUACAGUUUAAGUAAAUAAAUUAUUAUGAUUCCUAUUCUCCUUUUCUAUUUUAACUCACUUCGAUUCCAGUCUAUUCUGAUUUUUGUUUAAUAAACGCACCAUUAGUGCUAAAGUAAUAUUUCAUACAUAGAAAAGUAAAAACUACACCUAAGGUUAAGGGAAAGGACUUCAAAACUCUCUUUUGAUCAUAAUACAUUUUGUACUAAUUAACUUAAAGAUUUUGAAUCUAAUAUUUUAUAAUAAAUAAAAAUAUAUUCCUAAAAUAAAUAUAAUAUCAAUAUUUAAAAUAUGUUUUAAUAUUUUACACAUUUUAUUAUAUUAAAGUAGAUUUUAUAAUAAAUACAAACGUCCUAUUAAAAUGAAUAUAUAAAAAAUUUAGAAAAUUUAGAAUAUUAUAUAAAAUAAUUUUAAUAUAAUGCGUGAGAUAUAUUUUAUUAAUUUAAAAUGUUAUUUUACCUAAAAAAUAUGAUAAAUUAAUAAUUACAUAUUUGAAGUUAUUUCAAAUAUUAAAAAAAUUUAAUAUUAUUAGUCUUUUAGAUAGAUUAAAUUAUUUUUUUUAUAAGAGAUAGAUUAAAUUAUUUUAAAAUGCCUUAAUUAUUUUUACUUUUAACGUUACCGGCCUUUCUUUUAUUUUAUUGCAAAUUAAUGCUAACAAGAAAAAGCUAGAUCAUAUUCCACAAAAGCAAAAGUGACAAACACAACCAGCUGGAAUCUUUUAUAAAACUACAAAUUAAAAUGGAUUUUUUUUUUGAUAAAUUACACAUGAAAGUGGAUUCUUUUGAAUAUAAGUGGAGUAGGCUCUUUUAUUUUAUUUUUGAAUAUUGUAUAACGGGACUGUAGACUCUUUUAUUAAACUACAAAUUGUAUAGUCUUUUUAAAAUUGUUAUAAAUUAAUGGCCCCCACAAUCCUCAACAAUUGUACCGAUAUUCACAAGUUGGUGGCCCCUACAAUUCUGUUCCGAUAAUUUAACUGUGCAAGUGCUCAUUCACAAUCUUCCAGGUCAUGCUCUCAAUAAUUGUUUUUUUUUCCUGCAUUCCCUUUGGGAAAUUUACGAAAAUAAUCAUUAAUAUUUUAUUAUUUUUACAAUUAACCGUCUUAAUUUUUUUCUAUCAACAUUAGCCAAAUACAAGUCUUUCUUCCCAAAUUACCCUUCUUUACAGAACAAAACCAACAUUGUUUCUCCCAUAUCGCCAAACCAAAAGCAGCUUUUUAUUCUUAAAUCAUCAGCCAACGGCGACCGCAAAAGACAACGGUAAAAGUGAUAUCCGAUCAUAAUCUAUCCGGAUCCAACACAAAUCUACAUCACUCAGUGGUAUGAAUUAUUUUUUGAACUUACUGAACUCAGUCGGGUGAAUCUGAGUCUGGCGACAGGCUGCCUGUCGCAGUAAAACUUGGUGCGACAGGCAACCUGUCGUACCAAACCUUGGUGCGACGGGCACCCUUGGAGAUUUAUUAAAAAUGUAUUAUUUUAAUAGGACUCAAAUAAUUUUUUUUUAUAAUUUCAGGCUUAAUGGAUUCAGUUGUACUUGAAUUGUGUUACGAUGGUUGGUGGGAGACAUUAGAGAAUGGCUGUAUGGAGUACGUGAAUGGUAAAAAUCGAGCUUUUUUGGUUGGAAAAAAUUACUUGUUUGAUCAGUUAUUGGCAAGAGUAUACGAGGUAUUAAAAAUAAACCCUAAUGACUAUAGUAUCACAAUGAAGACAACUUUGAGGUCUAGUAACACAUUAUAUCGUAUAUGUGCAAUGCCCAUGGAUAUAUGUGAUGAUGAAAUGGUGAGGGUUGUGUUGCAUAUGGCAUCUGACGUAGCUAAUUUUGGAUGCAUUCCUAUAUUCGUGACCACAUCACCUCGACUUCCGAGCGAAGGUAUUGAGCCACAUGUCGAUAUAGAAACUUCGUUUAGAGCAAAUAUGUCUGGCCCCGAUAAUGAUGAAGAGGUGUUGCCAAGGACAAUAUCGCUGCAGCAAUAUUACUCUCCAAUCCACGACAAUUAUGAUAACAUUGAUGAUAAUAGCGUUACGUUACAGGAUGUUGGAGCAACGGUAUUUCCAAUAACAACGUCGUUGGAGCAACGAUAUUCUCCGUAUCACAACAAUGAUUUUCGGGACAAUGAUGAUUUUCAUAAUGAGACAGAGGAGGAUAAUGUUUGUGCAGAACCUUCUAAUAAUACGAGGCGGGGCACUCGUUUCAAUAAUGAUGGUGAUGAUGGAGGAGUCGGUCAUUCGAAUGUUCCGUCGUUUCAGCAUGAGGAUGAGUGUGAAGACAAUACUCCUGUGAAUAACAGAGGCAAUAGACCUAUUCCUUCUAUGGUUCGAUCGAGAAGGAGAAUUGACCCCCUUACAAGUCUUGCUCCAACUUUACCUUCGAACAUGGUUGCUCCAAGCUUUGUUAGCAGUUGUGACUCAGAUGAUAUCAGCGUGGGUAAGCUAUUUGUUGAGAAGAAUGAGCUUAUAUUACAACUACGCAAGGUGGCCUUUAGAGAUAAGUUUGAUUUCAAGAUUGCACGGUCUACUACGACACGUUUCGAGGCUCACUGUUGUUCAGAAUCAUGUAAAUGGCAUAUUCGAGCAACUAGAAGUUCGAACGAGCAAAAUGUUCCUUGGGUGGUGAAGAGAAUUGAUAAUGUACACACUUGUCAUAAUGAGGUAUUGAUUGAUGGACGUCAUCAAGUAAGGAGCCGGGUUGUCGGUCAUAUUAUCGCAGAAAAAUAUAUUCAAGAUAAGAGGAUUUAUACUCCCAAUGACAUAAGAGCAGAUAUGCAACAGGAAUACGGUGUUCAGUUAACAUACCAGCAGGCAUAUAGGGCGAGAGAAGUUGGUCUUGAAAUAGUUCACGGCAACCCUGCAGAGUCAUACAACUUGCUCCCUAAAUACUCUCACGUACUAACUACAACGAAUGAGGGUACAGUCACUCACCUCGAGCAGGAUGGAGAUGGUAAUUUCUUGUACUAUUUUGUAGCACUCGGAUAUUCCAUCAAGGGGUUUAUGCAGUACAUUCGGCCUGUCAUUGCUGUAGAUGGUACUCAUCUAAAGAGAUUAUAUCGUGGAAGCAUGUUCGUGGCAACAUGUCUUGAUGGUAACAAUCAAUUGUAUCCGUUAGCCAUUGGGAUCAUGGAUUCAGAAAAUAAUGAUGCUUGGGAAUGGUUUAUGAUGAAGUUACACGGAGUGAUUGGUGAUAGACCUGAGUUGGUAAUUAUCUCUGAUCGAUGCACUGCCAUAAGGAGAGCCGUUCUUAAAGUAUUUCACAAUGCAACUCAUGGCGUUUGUUUUUACCACGUCAAAGGUAACAUUAAGUCACAAUUUAGAAUGUCCAAAGCUCUUUGGGAUGAAUUUGAGCAUGCCUUUAUUAAUGCAGCAAAAGCAUAUGGCCACGAGGAAUUUAAGAGACAACUUGAAGGGUUGUGGAUGAUCCACUCGGGUGCGGCUGAUUACUUAGAAAAUAAUGUCGGCACGUGUAAUUGGGCAAGGUCUCAGUUUCAAGGUAGGAGGUACAACAUUCUUACCACCAACAUCGCGGAGAGUGUUAAUGCUUUCAUGAGGGAACCUCGAAAAUUUCCUGUUACUCAUCUUGUUGAUCACUUCAGGAAAACAUUGCAGCAAUUGUUUUAUGAUAGAAAAAUUGUGGCUGAAUCAAUGACUACUCGGCUAACAACAUGGGCGGAUGAAAUAGUCACUGAGAGGAGAACUAUAGCUGAAAGAAUGAUAGUUCGGCCGGUGUCUCCGCAUCGCUUUCAAGUUAUAGGCGGUGGGCUUAAGGAAGGGUUGGUUGACUUGCAAAAGAGAACUUGCUCCUGCAGAGUGUUUCAGCUUGAUCAGCAUGUGUGUGCUCAUGCAAUUGCGGCGUGUCUAACACACCGGGUGGAUUUUAUUAACCUUUGCUCGGACUUUUACACUACAGAAUCGUUGGCGAUGGCUUAUGCACAACCAGUGGAGCCAGUUGGUGAUGUGGCUGAUUGGGAAGUUCCAGAUGAAAUUCAGGAGAUGCAGGUAUACCCACCAGUUGAGGCACCACUACCUGGCCGUCGUAAAGAGCUCAGAAUACCCUCGACUGGCGAGGACGUUGACCGGCGGACUGUAAGAUGCGGCCGGUGUCAUGAACUAGGCCAUAAUCGUAAGCGAUGUAAGAAUCCUAUUGCGUCGACUCGAAGUUAGUUGUAUUUUGUGUGUUAUUCGUUGGUUAAAACUAUUAUUGUUUUUGUGUUACAUUGGUUAAAACUGUUAUUGUUUUUUGUAUUUCGUUGGUUAAAACUGUUAUUGUUUUUUGUGUAUUGUACACUUAUAUUCAUAAAACUUUAUUUUAUUUUAAAGUUCAAAAUGUGAGGCAUUAAAAUUAUAUAAACUUAAGUGCGGAAAUUAAAAAAAAUGCAAAUUUCAACAUUGAAAUUACUACAUAGGUCUACAAUAUAAUAUCGUCAUUAAAUAUAUCAACCGCAAUCUUCUUUCUAAAGUACUCGACAUGACUAGCGUUAAACUCCAAUCUAAGCCCGAACAUUAAAUACAUCGUAACCAUCAAUACAAAAACACUGCAAUCGCUAGUUCCGGGCUCUUGUUGUGGUGCGCUCUUAACUGCGAUAACUUUCCACGGGUCUUCACUCCGCAACUCAGGUCGGAUAUUGUAGAAGCCAACAUAUUCCAACCAUCGAGGGAAUAUAACUUCAAGUGGCUUGAAUUUCAACUUGUACUUUUUGUCGUCGCGAAAUGUGAGUAAUGAGUCAUAAAUCCAGACUUUAUUUUUCCGAAAGUCAACUCGUGCUAGUACCCAAUGCGCGCCGUCCAAGUUAACAGGGAUGAGUAACUGCAUAUAAAAAUUAAAAAAACAUGUUCGUUAUAUAUGAAAUUGAAAUACAACAAAGAAAAAGCAACAACUCGAAUAUUUUCAUUAUAGAGCAUGUGAAAUGUAAUAAAAUACACACCAUAUCGACAUCCGUCAUUAAUUUUGACAUUGUGUGCUGUCGCCCACAAAGAUAACUAUUCAAGCGGUCGUCGAAUACCAUUGAAUCAACUGCACAAUUCCUGUUAUUCCAUAACUGAUUCAAGAACACCUAGUACAUAGAUAACCAAGAAAUGCAUAAAUUAAUAAAACUUAAAGGCAAUAAUUAAACAAAUUAAAUAGUAUUUAUAAGUUUUGUCGGCACGUUACCCAAAAAAAUGUGUCAGUAUGUGUGACACGUUGGAGUAAGGCAUUUGGAUACUGCCGUUGUUUCUCGCUAAUCAAGCGGAGAUACUCGUGAAUAUGCUGUAGAGAAACAAAAAUAUUACGAUUUAAAAAAAAAUUAUACACAAAUCCACAACAGUAUACACCACGAGGAAAAUAUAAAUACCUCAUCGCCUAGCCAUCCCAUCGAAGCUGUCCCCAAAAUUAUUUGAAAGAAUGACCGCAGGUGCUGGACUCUCCGGCGGACUCUGCUAUCACCAGUGAACCAUCGAUCAAACUCAGCAAACAAACUAGAGUCCUCCAAUCCUCUCAGUGGAUUUACAUCCACACUCGUACUCAUGUCAAUCGCAUGCUCCAUCAUUUGGGGUCGAGGUAACCUCCGGACGUUCUGUCCACGCCUGACCGGAGGAAUCAUGUAAGGACUGUUAUAAACAUACGACGGUAUGUACGCGCGGCCGAACUUACUAACGCCCGGAGGCACCUCUGUGAACACCUGCAUGCUCUCCCCACUAACAUCCCCGUAUAAACUAUAAAAUGACGUGGGCGUAGACAAAUUUUCAUUGCCCACGUCAGUAUACACUCCAUAGUCAUCCGGGGCCUGUACAUUCGCCAAAAAGAACAUAUUAAAUAAUUAUCAAAUUAAAAGUUAAACGAACAUAAUUAUUUAAUUUAAAUUAGCUUACCGCAUACGAGCGUGCAGUGGGAGAAUCCUUAUUUGGAUGUUUAGAAAAUGUGUCGAUGAAGCCAACAACGGUUUCUUUAAAAUCUUUUAAUUCUGACUUUAUUUCAUACACAUUACGAUCAAUCUUAUCCAGCCGUCGUCGUACGUAAUCAUUAAACUGCUUUGUCCUCGACUAUUACAAAAGAAAAAAAUAAAACUUUAGAAUAACAAUAAAAAAAUAAUAAUUUAUAAAGGAAAAAUAUCGUAUAUUAUUUAUAACCUCAGAAUCCCGUGCGUCAUCAGAGUUGUCUGUUUGCUGCUGGUGGUCAUCAACAGCCACCUCAUCCUCAAAAGUGUCAAGACGCUGCUCUGGUAUUGGGUUUAGUAUGUCGUCAUGAUCAUCAUGCUCGUCCGAUUGUCUUGUAACCGACGGCAUCGCGUUGAUUGAGGGUUGGUGCUGUAUAAAGUAUCAUUUAAAAUUACUAAAUGAAAAGUCAAAAAUUUCGAUAAAAAAAUUUUUAGUACUUACAGUAUACCGACCUUAUGAAUCCAAUCUGGAAUGCUUGGCAAGUAAUCCUUCACAGAGAGUCAAUAUUUUCUGCUACUCUCUUUUGAAUUUGGCUCAAGAGUUUGUAAAAUGUCCGUCUGCCAUAAAUUCAAUUGAAAAAUUUAAGUAAGUAUACCCAACUUAAAUUUAGUAAAGUUAAAAAAUAAGUAAUACAUAUUACUUACAAGACGAGAUUCGUCGUUGAAGAACGAAUAAACCUCCGCAAAGUUGAUUCUCGAAGACGUCAUGGGCUUCCAUUGCAGAAUGCGGGGAAUCUUACUCUUCGUUUUGACGACCCAUGUUGAUGGCAACCCUCCGAUUGCUUCGUAAAUCCAAGCCUACAACAAACCAAAGUGAAAAAUCAAAUAAAACAACUAUCAAAUAUUUAAUACUAUAAAACUUAUUAAUAAACAAAAAAAAGCACCUGCACCCCAGACGUAAAGCCGUAAAGAUUAUAUUUUUCAAUAUUAUGAUCUGAAUUUUUCAACCGAGUCUUCUUAAAUUUCUCGUCUUUCUCGAACAGUGCAUUGUCAAGACUCUCGUAAAUCAUUUCCCACGACAAUAGACCCCAUGGCGCUUUCGGAAGUACUGUAUAUCAUCAACUUGGUCAAGCCAAUCGAAAUUAAUUUGACAGUGAUUUUUUCUUGCAUUUAGUACUCUGUCCGCAAAAUAAAACAGCGCAAUCUUUAAUGCGUCCAUAUCGUCCAUUUCCUCGAAAUUCAACUCCUUAAAUACUGCAUCAAAUUGCUUCACAUUAAUCUUACGAUGCACACCACCAAAAUACGUAUUCCGUAGCCUCUGCUCCAUUUCAUCAUUUUUUUCAUUGGUAUCAACACCAAAUGAAAGUCCAGUAACCAAGCACCAUUCGAUAAUUGACAAGCGAAUCAAAUGCUUACCAAUUUGAAACCAUAACUGAUCCUCACAGCUAUCUUCUUCAUGGGCCACUUGCCGCAGUAAACGAUUGUGCAAAAUUACCCCACUAAAUGGAAAACUUCGGCACUCCAAGAAAUGCCCAAAUAUAUCCUUUUUGAACAUACUCAACUGCCGCUUUGUUAAUUUUUCCUCGAUGGCUUUUACGACCGAAGAUAACAUACACAUGCUCGAAAUUCGACCAGGAAAGUGAUCAGCAUAACGAAAAUACAUCUUGCCUACUUCAAUAUCCGGUGAUUCUGAUUUCGCCAUGUAUCUGUAAUAUUUAUAAAAUUAUUACAUUACAUUUACAAAAUUAUUACCAAACUCUAAUUUUUUGGUGCGACAGGCGCCUGUCGCUCCAAAAAACUGCCUGUCGCACCACAGCUGGUGCUCCAAAAUCGAAAACAAUACUCCCAAACACUACCAACUACCACAAACAUCAUCACCACCACUAUUAAUCUCAAGCUAUAACUAUUAUUAUUCUAAAAUCUCAUUUUAAAUUAAUGAAAAUAAGAAAAAUGACUAACCUAGGUUUUGUUGAAGGUUGUAGAUCGUAGAUCGGAUGCCGGUGAGAGAUGGAGCCGCCGCCGACGAGGGUUGAUGUCGCCGCCGAUGAUGGGAGUUGGAUCGGUUUGGGAGAGAUGAGUGAAAAAGGGAGUGUUGGGGAAGAGAUGAGGGAUGGGUAUUUUGGUCUCAAAUGUUGUUUUAUGGCUAAUGUUGAUAGAAAUAUUUUUGGGGGGUUAAGAUGAAAAAAAACAAAUUUGUUUUGGUUAUUACUGUAAAUUUCCCAUUCCCUUUCAUGCUCUUAAUAAUUGAAGAGCAUACUUUUCAUUUUCAAAUGUGGAGCCGCAUCUAAUGUCGCUAAUUUAAUUUGGGAUUAAAUUAGGGGACCAUUAUAUUGCAGUGUGUACUAAUUUUUGUGUUUAUCUAAACUCCUUAAGUUUAAGACAUAUUAUGGCAUAAAUAAGAAUAUAACAAUAACAAAAGAGAUGCCGGAGCAGAUCAGCAGGGUUUGAAUAUGACCUUUGGCGGUUGCUUUUUUUUUGUGAUUUUUUUCAUUUUUUCCUUCCUGUCAUUUUAUCAUUUAUUUGGCUCUGUUUCUAUUGCGGGUGUUACUGCAUGCUUACUGUUGCUUGACAAAGUUUGCUAGCUUUUUGUUUGCAGUGCUGCUAUUCACCCCGAGUCAAGCUCCGAAAAUUUAUUAAACAACGCCGUUUCGAUAGUAACAAUUUUUUUCUUUUCCCUUUGUCUGUCUCUUUCAUCUGCUGUUUCUCUAUCACUUUUCAUUUUUUAUUUCCUUACUUCCCAGCUGCCCCUAAAUUGUUAUUCUAGCAAUAUACUUUCUCAUCUUUGAAUUUUCAUCCUUGAGUACUCCCACAGCCGUAAUUUCAUCAUUAUAGACUUCACUUGGAAUGCUGUAUUUUUUCGAUUCUUAAGCUACUUCAAUUACAUCUCCCAGUAUAGGAUCCUCAUCUUCCUUUAUUUCUUCAUCUUAUGAGGUAACAAAUGGAUUUCACAACUCAUCUACUUUUAAGCAAUUACAUAUUAUACCUUGAAUGAUUCAACUGUUCCGACAGUUAAAGAUUUUAUGCUCAACCUGCAGUGCUACGAACAUUGUCCAUGAAAGAUGAGUUUCAGCAUAUAAAAUGAAAUAUAGAUGUUUAAUCUAAAAUAACCCUUCACUGCCAAGAAACCUAGGUCACAAAAUUCACAGAUAAUGAUAAAGAGCUAAAAAAUUUGAAAAACUCUACAGAUCACACAUCAAGCAAGAUAUCAUGUUUUUUUCCCUCAUUCGGUGGUGAUUGAUUCGCUUUUUGAUGAUGGAUAUGGUAUAAAAGUUUUGACCCAAUUUCAAGCAAACACAAAUAGAAACACAAAUAGAAACACAAACACAAUCAGGACUAGAGUUGUGGGCGAUUAUCUUAGGUGUACAAGUGAAACGGUGGUGGCUGUCGAUGGUGGUAGUGGGGUGGUUGGGUAUGCGUGAUGGCUAGAUUUUAGGACAAUAAUGGUUGGAGUUGACCUCGAUCAACGAAGGAAAGUGACAACAAUUUUGACAUCAAACGGUGCAUUUUUUAGCUUAGUAAAAUGGAGCCGUUUCGAAUUUGGGGUUUAAUCCGGGGUUUGACUCGGCGCAAGUAUCAUUUUCCUUUUGUUUAUUAAAUUUUUUAUGGUCACAAAGUAUUACUCGUUCUAUUUGAGAGUGAUGUGAAUCAAUUUUUCAAUUUUAUAUUUUGUGGUCAAUGUGAAUUUAAUUUCAUUUGUCUCCUGCAAUUAUGAAAAAAUUGCAGUCAUAAUAUGGAAAAGUACACCGGCAAAAACUUUGUAAAAGCUUCGGAGUGAUACGGGGAAUUUACUUACUACUGAGGACAAUUGGUGGCAAAGCUAUUCCAUUCAUUUUAUGUCCAUCCAUCUAUUUAGCUAUUGAAGAUUAGUGGUCCAUUUGUAAAUUUCAGAUUGUCUCUCUCUCUCUCUCCCACUUGAAAUAACAAUAUUUAAUAUAUCUCUUAAAUUAUUAUAAAUUUUAAUUUACUCUCGAUUUAAAAUGGAGCAUGUCGAUAAAAAAUUUUUCUUCUUAAUAAAAUUGACGUAAGUUGUGUGUUACAGUAGUUUGAAGUUUGAAAUAUUUUAAAGAUUAUUAUUCUAUAAGGGAGUAAUAUGAAAUGAUAUUUACUUUUCAUGUGUGAAAUGAAAAAGGACGAAGCAAGUGUCCCUGCUUUUAUUUUAUUUCAAGGAGGAGUCAUCUCACAUACUUUAGCUCUUAACAUUACAUUUUUUCUGGUUACAUUUUUUAUUUAUUUAUUUUUUUUUUUUUACACAUGCGUGUGGGUUGCUUUUCUGUAAGCUCCUUAAUAUAUAUUUAAGACAAAUCAUGGAAGAGAUGGGAUUAUAUCAAGAUGAUCAAAGCAUGUAAAAAAAGAAAAAAGAAAAAAAAAAAUUAAGAAGUAAGACACUGAAAAUGGAGAAGAGAUGGAAGCAAAAGAUAUUCCAAAACAAAGCAAUCUAUCCCCUUUCGAGGGCAGACUUAUCAGGUUUAAAAAAGUACAUGCUUUGGAUUGGUAGUUGCAAUCAAGGGAAAAUAAAUAGGAUCCAAUGAAAUUUAAAUCUCGGAGAAAAUAAAUAAUCAUGCAGAUUUUCAAGAUUUUAAUAAGGGAUACUAAUAUCUUAUUUUGAUUAAUAACAUUCUUUUAUUGUGUUAACUCAAAAAAAAUAUUAUAAUGCUUUACAAUAAAUACAAAUGUCCUAUUAAAUGAAUAUAUAAAAAAUUUAGAAAAUUUAGAAUAUUAUAUAAAAUAAUUUUAAUAUAAUGCGUGAGAUAUAUUUUAUUAAUUUAAAAUGUCAUUUUACCUAAAAAAUAUGAUAAAUUAAUAAUUACAUAUUUGAAGUUAUUUCAAAUAUUACUUAAUUGUUUUUACUUUAAACAUUACCGGCCUUUCUUUUAUUUUAUUGCAAAUUAAUGCUAACAAGAAAAAGCUAGAUCAUAUUCCACAAAAGCAAAAGUGACAAACACAACCAGCUGGAAUCUUUUAUAAAACUACAAAUUAAAAUGGAGUUUUUUUAAAAAAAUUGUUAUAAAUUGGUGGCCCCUACAAUCCUCAAUAAUUGCACCGAUAUUCACAAGUUGGUGGCCCCUACAAUUCUGUUCCGAUAAUAAUUGUUUUUAUUUUUCUGCAUUCCCUUUCAUGCUCUUAAUAAUUGAAGAGCAUACUUUUCAAAUGUGGAGCCACAGCUAAUGUCGCUAAUUUAAUUUGGGAUUAAAUUAGGGGACCAUUAUAUUACAGUGUGCACUAAUUUUUGUGUUUAUCUAAACUCCUUAAAUUUAAGAUAUAUUAUGGCAUAAAUAAGAAUAUAACAAUAACAAAAGAGUAAAAAAGUGUAGAGAAGAUCUUGCAGAAAUAUAAAUAAUAUCUAUUUUAAAAUAAUUUUUAAUAUUUUAUGAUCCAUUAGAUAUAUUUAUUAUAUUAAAGUAAAUUUUAUAAUAAAUAAAAACAUACUAUUAAAAUGAAUAUAUAGAAAAUUUAGAGUAUUUUAAAUAUUAUAUAAAAAAUUUUUAAUAAAAUAUGUGAGAUAUUCAUAUUUUAUUAAUUUAAAAUACCAUUUAACCUAAAGAUUUAUUUAUGAUAAAUUAAUAAUUAUAUUUUUGAAAUUACUUCAAAUAUUAAAAAAUUAAUAUUACUAAUCUGUUAGAUAGAUUAAAUUAUAUAUAUUAUUUUCUAUUUAUUAAAAAAUUAAAAUUAUUUUUAAUUACUAUUCAAAAAAUAUAAUGAAAAAACAUAAUGAUAAAAAAAUCUUAACAUCUUUAUUAAAAAAUUAAAAACUUAUAUGAUAAAUUCUCUAAAUAUUUACGGUAUAUGUGAACCACGGUGGAUAAGCUUUAUUUAAUAUUAUUGAUUUAAAUAAUAUGUCAAUUAAAAAUGUACAGAGAAGAAAUUUCGGUGGGUAUUUUAGUCUUUUAAGCAAUUAUCAUGAUCAGAUCAGCCUUUAGCCUUCAAACGUCGGUCAGAAAAGUUUUAAAAUUAAUGCUAAAUUGUUUUUCACUUUUAACGUUGGUGGCCUUGAAAUUGCUUGUAUUUUAUUAAAAAUUAAUGCUAACAAGAAAAAGCUAGGUCAUAUUCCACAAAAUCAAAAGUGACAAAACAACCAGCUGGUUUCUUUUACUAAACUACAAAUUAAAAUAAAUUUUUUCGAUAAAUUACAAAUUAAAGUGGAUUCUUUUGAAUACAAAUGGGACAGACGAUUAGGCUCUUUUUAUUAGAGGCAAGUAAAAACUAGUCAAGAAUCGAACAGUCUUUUUCCAAUUCUUGUUUUAUUAUUUUUCAAAACUAGUUUUUGGUAAUUACAACCGGGUCAUUAAUCAUUAUUCAGAGUUACUGUUAUCUUCGGGGGCAGUGGGUAAAAGAUAAUUACUAACUGUUUUUCCUUCAAAAGUUAGCGGCUCAUGUUUGCAAGUGUGAAUGUGCGAUGCUCUUUUCUUAAAGGCCAUUACAGUGGGGCCCGAAUCAGACGUGCCUAAAUCUUUUUAAAAUUUUUGCCGUAUAACGAACAGAGGUCAUUACUAAAAUUUCUCUUCCACAGCCUACAGCAGCUUCAGUUUAUCAAACUCCAUCAAUUUUCUUUCUUAACAAAAUUCCAAAGAUGUGUAGCAUUUUUCAGAUCACAUGCGAUGGUGCUCUUUUCAAUCGUUGCUUGGAUUGCUUUCUUGGAAAAGCAGCAUACAUACGUAACCUCCAAGAUAAUCUUGUAGCCUUGGAGACUGAACUGGGAAGACUAAUCGCAGCAAAGAACGAUGUGAUGAUGAGGGUUGUCAAUGCUGAACGGCAACAAAUGAGAAGGCUGGACGGAGUGCAAGUGUGGGUUUCGAGGGUGGAUUCUGUUAAAACUGGAGCCGACGAACUUAUCACAGACGGCUCUGAAGAAAUUGGCAAAUUAUGUGUUGGAGGCUACUGUUCCAAGAACUGCAGGUCAAGCUACAAAUCGAAAACAAGUGGCUAGAAAGCUACGACAUGUGAAGACUUUAAUCGCCGAGGGAGUUUUUGAGGCGGUGGCCACUGAGGUGGUGCCCGAGAGAGCUCCGGAACCUGUAGCAGAUAAAAGACCCACUGAGCCAACAAUAGUAGGCUUGCAAUCACAGCUUGAACAAGUUUGGAGAUGUCUUGUAGAAGAAUCAGUGGGAAUCAUUGGCCUAUAUGGUAUGGGCGGUGUUGGUAAAACCACACUAUUGACCCAUAUCAACAAUAAAUUUCUUGAGAGUCCCACAAACUUUGAUUGUGUGAUUUGGGUCGUAGUUUCAAAAGACCUGCGACUUGAAAAAAUUCAAGAAGAUAUUGGGAAGAAGAUAGGUCUGUCUGAUGAUUCAUGGAAGAAUAAAAGUUUUGAAGAGAAAGCUGUGGACAUCCUGCCGAGAUUAGGAGAGAAGAGAUUUGUAUUGUUGUUAGAUGAUUUAUGGGAGCGGGUUGAUUUAACAGAAGUGGGCGUUCCACUUCCCAGCGCACAAAAUACUACCUCAAAAGUCGUAUUCACAACCCGUUCCAUUGGUGUUUGUGGCAGCAUGAGAGCUAGGCCGGUUAAAGUGGCAUGCCUAUCAGAAAAGCAAGCUUGGGAACUGUUCCGCGAAAAUGUUGGGGAAGAAACUCUUGAGAGUGAUCAUGAGAUCGUUGAGCUAGCCCAAACUGUGGCCAAAGAGUGUGAUGGUUUGCCACUCGCACUUAUUACUAUUGGUCGAGCUAUGGCCUACAGAAAGACAGCCGAGGAGUGGAGUCAUGCAAUUGAUGUGCUAAGAACAUCAGCUUCUGAGUUUGCAGGUUUGGGAGAGAAGGUGUAUCGUCUUUUAAAGUUUAGCUAUGAUAGUUUGCAGAAUGAUACGGUUAGAUCUUGUUUCUUGUACUGUUGUUUAUAUCCUGAAGAUUAUGGCAUUCUUAAAUGGGACUUGAUUGAUUGUUGGUUUGGCGAGGGAUUUUUUGGGGAAUCUGACAGGUCUGGUGCAGAAAACCAAGGAUAUGACAUUUUGGACACUCUUGUUCGUGCAUGUUUAUUAGAAGCGGUGGAAGAUGGUGAAGUAAAAAUGCAUGACGUUAUUCGUGAUAUGGCUAUAUGGAUAACUUGUGAAAUUGAGAAGGAGAAGAGAAACUUUUUGGUUCGUGCAGGUGCUGGAUUAAAAGAGGCACCGGAUGUUAAAGGAUGGGAAAAUGUGAGAAGAUUGUCAUUGAUGCAAAACCAAAUUGAAACUGUGUCAGAGGUUCCCACAUGCCCUCAUCUCCUCACUUUAUUUCUUGACUUUAAUCAGGAGUUGGAGAUGAUCGCGGAUGGCUUCUUCCAACUUAUGCCUUCUCUCAAAGUUUUGAAGAUGUCAAACUGUGGACAGAGGAGGUUGAAAUUACCUGUUGGGAUGUCAGUGUUGGGUUCAUCACUAGAACUUCUCGAUAUUUCAUGUACUGGCAUAACAGAGUUACCAGAGGAGUUAAAGAAGUUGGUAAAUCUGAAAUGUUUGAAUUUGAGGUGGACAGGUGCGUUAAUUAGAAUUCCACGGCAACUAAUAUCAAAAUUUUCAAGGUUACGUGUGUUGAGAAUGUUCGCUAUUGGCUAUGAUCGUUUUCAUGAAGCACCAGAAGACAGCGUUUUAUUUGGUGGGGGUGAAGUUUUGAUACAGGAAUUGCUCGGUUUGAAAUAUUUAGAGGUAUUGGAGUUGAGCUUGGGAAGUUAUCAUGCUCUCCAAAUUCUUUUGAGCUCAAAUAAGUUAAAAAGUUGUAUUCGAUCUCUUUGCCUCGAGUUCGCCGGAGAUACAGCGUCAAUUAUUGAUGCUACGGCUUUCGCAGAUCUAAACUACCUCAAUGAAUUAAAUAUUUAUAGUGGUUUUGAGUUGGAAGAGUUGAAGAUUGAUUAUACAGAGAUAGUACGAAAAAGGCGGGAACCUUUUGUUUUCCGCAACCUUCACCGUGUUACUAUACAUAGCUGCCAGAAGUUGAAAGAUUUGACAUUCCUCGUUUUUGCUCCAAACCUCAAGUCUGUUCAGCUACUCGAUUGCUAUGCUAUGGAAGAAAUAAUCAGCGUCGGAAAAUUUGCUGAGACUCCUGAGAUGAUGGGACAUAUAAGCCCUUUUGAAAAUCUCCAAAUGCUUGAUUUAGAAGAUUUGCCACAUUUGAAGAGCAUCUUCUGGAAGCCAUUGCCUUUCACUCAUCUGAAAGAAAUGGCGGUAAGUGGGUGUGAUCAGCUUGAAAAGCUUCCACUCGAUUCCAACAGUGCAAAGGAGCGUAAAUUUGUAAUUCGUGGAGAAGAAGACUGGUGGAACCGACUUCAAUGGGAGGAUGAAGCCACUCAAAUUGCUUUUCGUUCCUGUUUCCAACCUUAUUCCUGAGCGGUGGUCGCAAAUUUUGAUUCUCUGUUUUUAUUUCUGGUUAGUUUCUCUCUCUCUCUUUCUCUCUCGCUCUCUCUCUUUUUGUCUUCUGCAAAUCACAAUUAAAUGUUGAAUUAAUGGAAUUAAUGCUUCAUAAAUUUGCCGGCACAGCCACUACUUUUUUUUGGGGGGGGGGGGGGGGGGGGUCGAAUUGGUGCUCUGGUUUUUGACUUUUUGUUAGCGAUUUAAUUUCCUGUCAAAAGACGAGCGAGAAGAACAUAUAUAUGACGUAAACCAAUUGAUACUUUAUUUAUGUGCAUUGUAUGUAAUAAAUAUUAAGUAUACUUUAUUUUUGCCCUGUUCUCUGUUUUUAUUUCAGUCUCUCUCUCUCUCUCUCUGCUGUCUCCUGUCUCCUGCAAAUCACAAUUAAAUGUUGAAUUAUAUGGAAUUAAUCCUUCAUAAAUCUGCCUGCGCUGGCUUUUUUUUUUUUUUUGUGGGGGUCGAAUUGAUGCUCUGGUUUUCGACUACUUUUUGUUGUCAAAAUUUUCUCUGUUUUUUCAAAUUGAUGCUUUAUUGAUAUCUUCUUCGUGAAAAGUGAUUUAAUUUCCUGCCAAAAGACGAACGAGAAGAACAUUAGAGUCAAACUAAUGCUCACAUAAAUUUCCCGUAAGAAUAUAUAAUUAUUAAGAUAGAUCUGCUCUUUCAUUAAAUAUAUAUUCCUUUUUCACAUAUUAAUUGACCUUUAUUUAAUUUGUUUAAAAAGUUUAAUUAAUUGUUGUUUGCAGAGAAUCAUCUACGCCGCUCGCCGAUAAAAGUUGAGGUGUUCGAGCAGGUGCUUGCCUUUUUUUUUUUCUUUUUCUUUUUUCCCUGUUUUAAUAUUUCUUUAAAUUUUGAAAUUGUUUAAUUAUUCUUCUGGUUUGGAAUGUUGAUAAUAGUGUUGUGAAAUUAAUUUUUACAGGAUAAAAGGUUGUGGGACAUUUAUUAUCCAUGUCCUAUGUAUCUCAAGCUUAAAGGUCUCAGUGGUCCUCUAUUGGAAAAAGCAAGUUUAAUAUAUAUUAAUUGGAUAUCGUCGCCUGUAUAUAUAUGUAUAUACAUACAUACACAGCCACUCAUCGAUUAUAGACUUAAUUAUUUAAUUGAUUAUGUAAUCUCUCGUAGUUUCUUUGUGCAUUUUUAGUUAAUUUAAUGAAUAAACUCAAAUACAUUGUAAAUAAAACCAAAUUAAAUGUUCCCUAAAAUAUACGUAUAUGCCUCUCGAUGGCACACAAGGUUAAAUGUCAGCCCAUCGCGGGUAAUAUUAUUUCUAGCCGCCUUCAUUACGAGUUAAGAGUCAAUUAUUACUAAACUAAACUAGUCAAAACUCGUAAGUGCUAGAAAGUAGAAACGUUUGAUUCUAUAUAAAUGACUUCAAUUCAAUAUGUACCAAAGAGUAUCGAUAAUUGAACCCCAAAAAACUUUAAAAAAGAUUGACAAAAUUAAUUAUAUUAUUGUGUGUUUUUAGAAGAAAAAAUAAAAUAAUUAAUUAAUGUUAUAACACUAUGUUAGGUGAAAAGUCAGCUGUCUGGAAGAGAACAAACUUACUAAGAUAAGAGCCUUCUUCAGUAAUCAACCGAACGAAAAAGUCAUCUCUUUUCUUAUUUAUUUAGUAAAAAUAAGUAAAGGCCGAAAAUUUCCUAAAAUAUCUAAAUCCCUCUCUUUAAAAGAACACCAUAUGCUGCAUAACAUGCAAAUUAAUUUCCCAUAUGUGAUGCAAUUUUCUCCUCAACAUAUGCGCAAUUCUUUCCAUUCCGGCAUUUACACUCAAAUUUUCCUUCCUUUCUCUUUGUGGUUGAAUCUUACACCACAACUCAUGUGAUGCAAUCUCCUCUCGCUGCCUAAAUUGCACUCUCAGCAAAGCAGCAUAUGUAAGCAAGCUUGAAGAUAAUCUUGCUGCUCUGCGGAAGAACGGCAAAAGUUAAUCGAAGCAAGGACUGAUGUAUCAGAAAAAUUUUGGUGGAGAAUUCAGCACAAACAUAUUUCGGAUGAUCAGAAUCAAUAAAACAUGGUGGUUGCGCCAUAUAAACAUCUUCGGAAAGCUGGCCUUGAAGAAAGGCGUUUAUUGAUAUCCAAUUGACGAAGAGGCCAGCCAUGACUAACAUCAAUACUAAGAACAAGCCGUACUGUGGUGGGCUUAACAACUGGACUGAAAGUGUCAUAAUAGUCCACACCAGGCCGUUGAUUGAACCCUUUGGCAAUAAGACGAGCUUUGAACCUGUCAACAGAACCGUUGGAAUGUCUUUUAAUACAAAAAUCCAUUUGCAGCCAACAAUAUUGGAAAGGAUGGGAGGUGGAACAAGCUUCCAUGUCCCGUUAAGAACAAGAGCAUCAUACUCUUCUGACAUAGAUUGACGCCAGUGAGGAUUUUUGAUAGCUUGCGUCACAGUUGUAGGUUCACAAUCAGAAGGAGGGCUAAAAUGAGCACAGAGGUUAAGUUUUUGUAACGGCUUGUGAAUGUUAUUUUUAGCUCCGGUAGUCAUAUCAUGAUGAUUUGUGGGGCAACGAUCUAGUGGAGUUUGGGAAGAUGAUUGAACAGGAAGUGAAGAAGUGCUUUGUGUAGAGGUAGAAAUAGGUUGGGAGGAUUGCUGCGGAGAUGUUACCGGUAGAGAAGAAGGAGCAGUACACGGUGGCAACUCCAAAGGGCCCACAAUAGAUGGAGUAGGUGCCGACGAUGGAGUACUAGGAAAUGAAACAGUAAGAAUUGGUGGAACACUUGCGUAAUUAGGAGUUGUAGAUGAGCUUGUAAUGAUUUGUAUGGAAAAACAAACUCUACAAAUUUAACGUGACGUGAAAUAAAAAUUUGAAAGGUGGAUGGGUCAAAACAUAAAUAAGCACUUUGAGAUAAAGGAAUAUCCUAGAAAAACACAAGGCUUAGAGGGUGGUUCGAGUUUAUGUGAUGAAACACAAACAUUCAAAAUUUUUUAAGUUUAUAUUAAUUAGGAGUGGUACCAAAAAUUAAUUGGCUAUCGGGUUGUUGGAUGUGUUUUGGAUAUUUACAGCUAAGUUUGAGUAUCUCAACUUAAAAUUUGUAGCUUUCACUUGAAAAAAUUCAGUUAAAAUUUGCAAUGCAGACUGAUUGAUUUAUCAGUUUAACGUGUGCCAGGAAUGAAGAACUGGAAUAUCACCGUCAAGCAAGCACCCUGUGGAGCAAUACCAAACAAUGUACAAUCCGGCUUUGCUAGGUGACACUGGAGGCUUUUUGAAAAGUGCUUCACGCUCACUUGCACAGAUUGAGCAUCCCCUCUGGAUAUUGCCCUCUCUGAUCGAGUCUGAGCACUCAAAUUUUGGUCCUCAGAGGGAGCUACAGUUUUCUCUCCACU